rnacentral:lncRNA from 1 species
AAAAGGAAAGCCUUUAUUUUCGACUUUAGAUGUGGCUAAUCCUAUGAUGCCCUUGCUGUCUAAUUGUUAGUUGCAUCGUAACUUAGCAUUGAUCUUUUGUUGAGUAGUUCUGCAAGCGCACUAGACUCUAUUGCAUGCAAAAUUGCCACAUUUCGCUUGAAUCCAGAGGCCAUGUUUUUUUAUCCGCUAUGAGGUUUCUCUGUGUUUGAAGGUCCUAGAUCAAUUUAAGGAAAAAUAAAUCAGAAAAAUAAAAGUAAGCUGGUUCAAGGUCAACUAAUUUGGUUCUCGGUUACAAAAACAGAGAAUUGAUAUUACAAAAUAACCUAAUUUUGAGUUUAGAAUCUACUCAUCUCAAAACUGAUCAUCCUAAGAGUAACUCUUCUCUUAAGAUAUUUCAUCUGACAAUUUUACCUUCCUAUAUAACACUCUAGAUGAGUAAUAUUAUGUUUUCCUCGAAUUGUUGGACCAUUAAUCCUAUAACAUAUGUUCCCUUUCACCUCUAACUCAUUUUUUCCCCUCUUUAGCAAGAAAAGAAAGAAAGAAAGAAAAACUCAUUUUCUCCCUUCAAAGCUUUAAAAAUUGAUCGAUUCUUUACUUGGAAAAAAGAAAAGUAAAUGAGUAAUAAAAAAGUAUGGGGAAAGUUUGUGCAUUUUAACCAUAUCGCUACUUUUCACCUGCUCUCAAGUAAUGAUAGUUUCAAUCAUCACAACAUAAAACAUACCAAAAUCCAUAGCAUGAUACUUCUUAAUUUUUUUACAUGAUAUCUAAUAGUGAGAAAAAAAAAUAGUUCGAUCUUAUGACACACGCAAGAAAACAAUUAAAUAAGUCGAGCCAUAUGCACAUGCUAGGAGAUUCACCCUGCUUUAUAUCACUCAUUUCUUACGCCUCUUUUGUUGCAAAGAAUAAAUUCGUUCUUGAGAUAUGUGAUUAAUCAAUUUAACCUGACGUAUCUCAAAUUUAGCCGAUAAUCUUAUUCUACUUCCAUUUUAUUGGAUAAAAAAUCUUUUUGGUGAUAUUCUCAAGGUGGGCCCUCCAACGAAAAUGGGGACAAGCACUCAACGCUAUUGUUUCAAAUCUUGGUUGUCUCUGAAUUUUCCUCAGCAACUUCCUUUUACUUUCUUUCUUCUCUUUUUCUCUUUCUUCCAUUGAAUCAGUACCUAAUUUCUAAUCGUUCAGACUAACAAGGAGAAAGAAAAGAGUGCAUAAAAAGAGAGUACUGAGGGAGCAUCCGCUCCACCUUUUGGUGUCACCUAACAAAUUAUAUCUCUAUUUUACAAUCAAGAUAUCAAUCAACUUUUAGAUUUGAAAAUUUGAAAUAAAAGGCUCAGCGAUAACACACUAGUUCAAAAUAAAUUCAUUUUAAAUGGAAUUGUAGCAUGUGGUGCUAGCAGGGAAUAGAUGAAAGAUAAAUAACCACGAGCACUUGUUUAUCUCUGUCUCACAUUUCCAACUUCAUUAAGAAUAUUGCAAUUUUAAACAAAAUUAAAAUAUAAAAUCCCAUUGACAAUUAGUAGCUCGGUCCUUUCUUGAUGUCUUUCACAAAUCUCUAAUUCCGUUCCAACUCAAUCACUAACUUUUAAAUGGUUUAUCAAAUAUCUGUUAAAAAAAAUUGGUUUAUCAAAUUAUGGUUUUCAAUAACCAAAUAAAAAACUGGACGGAUGAUUAUAUUUUUAAGCGAAUGCAAUAUGCUUGUGCACAUAUUAUAGUUCUUUAUGGCCCAAUUGAAAAAUUAACGUACAUAUUACUUAUGAGUGGAUCAAGCCAACAAGUUUUGACUUGAAUAGAAUGAGGUCCAAAAGAAGAUAAGGUGAGGACUAAAAGCAUCUACAACUGCUCCUAGUCAAUCAAUUACCAAUUAUUUAAAGUUUUCAUGUUCGUUUUUUCUUGCAUGGUAACAUAUUCAUGCUCAUAAUUGUUCAUCGAUCCUUUUAUCCAGCAGAAAAGCAUCUUUCAUUCCAACUUUCGCCCUCAAAUUGCCAUGCAUCUUUCAUUCCACUUUUUGCUUUUAAUUCGUGUUCAUGAAGUUUUCCAUGUGUCAUGAAUUCAUAAUUCAAAAGCCUUUUGGAUGUUACCUCUAAAUAUCGCUACUUCCUUCUAAAAGUAGGCCCAAAGACACCAUUCCCUUCUUUUCUAUGCUUUUUCCUAAAUUAUCUUCUUCUUCUUUUAAUAUUUCACAAACUUCUUUUUUCAGUGGAUUAUUGACUUUUCAAGAGCUGAAUGAUAUGCCAACAAAAUAGUAAUAAAAAAAUGACCCGGAAAAGAACUCAAGGACAAUGUACAAGUAUUUCAUUUGUCAUUAGUAACUUAAUACUAACGCAUUAUGCUUAUUUGGUGUCAUUUAACAAAUUAUAGCGCAGACAAUAUAUCAAUCUAUAAUUUAAAUUUAAGAGUUAAAAGCGAAUAGCUUGGCCCUUAUAUAGAAAUAUUGGCAUGUGGGGCUAGCAUGAAAUAAAUAAGAGAGAAAUGACAACAACCAUUUGUUCAUCUCUACCUCGCAUUUCCAACUUCAAUAAGAACAUGGCAAUUUUAAAUAAAAUUAAAAAUAUGAAAUCAUCGAAUUUGAACCAAAACAUUAAGGAAGUGAAGCAAGCGACCCGAAACGAAUAGGGAAACAACAUUCACACAAAAAGAGAAAAGAUCAUAGGAGGGGGAGGGAGGGAGGGAGGGAGGGAGAGAAAGAGAGAGGACCAAGCCAACAAUCAUUUGCAAAUGUAUCUUUCGUCUUUCAUCAAUCCUUUUAAGCAAAAGAUAAGCAUAUUUCUUUUCAACUUCCCCUCUUAGAUCACCAUGGAAGAGCAGAGUCAAAGAAAGAGAGCAGAGGAAGAGAGCACUCAGGGAGCAUCCUCUUCUUCAUCCAUCUCUUCAGAAGCCACAGAUUUAUGUAGUGGUCAAUAUAACGUGUUCUUGAGCUUUAAAGGCUCAUAUACUCGCAAGACAUUCACCGAUCACCUCUACCACAGUCUAAUCAAGGUAGGAACUGUACUGUUUUGCGUGUUUAGGGAUGAGAACAACAUCCCAAUUGGAGAGGAAUUUGGUUCAAAGAUUCUUGAUGCCAUCGUACGGUCUAAGAUUUCGAUCCCUGUCAUCUCCGAAAAUUAUGCUUCAAGCAAAUGGUGCCUCCGCGAGCUCAUUCAUAUCAUGGACUAUAAGAAGAGCGCGUCACACAUAAUGUUGCCUAUAUUUUACAAAGUUGCUCCAUCGGAUGUGCGGCAUCUAAAAGGAAAUUUCGGAAAUGCCUUCCAAUCGAGUCGGGAACGUUUUGAUGAGAAGGAUAUCCAGGAAGGGCAACGAGCACUUAAUGAAGUCAGUUACUUAAAUGGAUGAGAAUCUCAAAAAAUUGAGGAUGGGUACUUUACUAAACUUUUCAUAAGUUUUCUUCUUCUCGCAAAACCAAGGACAUGAAGAUGAAUUACUUUCAUUGCAAGCUCAAAAAAGAUCCCCAAAAUAAACAACCAAAAUGACUUGAAGACAACAAACACCAGUACGCCCCAAUAGUCCCUAAAAACCAAACCAACGACACCUAAAACCAAAGCAUCCCAUAGUGCCCAAGAAUUUACAUUUUCCUCCAGUAUAGAGCCAAAAAAAGAAAGAAAUGACAAUACAUCCAGCCAAUAGUAUCAAUCACUAAACAAUAGGCCUCCAAAUGACUCCAAUGCUCGGUCUUCAAAGCUUGAUCACCACCAGAUAAAAUCAACCUCCUAUAGCCAACAAGUGUUGGCUCAGUUGAUAAGGAUAGAAUACUUUGCAUAGACUAUGUCUAGGUUCAUAACUUCUCAUUGUUUUUGUUGUUUGACAGGCAUGAGGGAAAAUUAAUAGAACAUGUGGUUGAAACAGUUAUAAGCAAGUUACGGAAAGAUUUUCAGCUGGAUAUGCCUGAGCAACUAGUUGGACUUGAUGAUCGUAUGAAGGAAAUUAUGAAUUGGAUCGACAAUCCUUCCAUGAAUGCUCGAAUGAUUGGAAUUUAUGGCAUGGGCGGGAUAGGCAAGACAACUCUUGCCAAGUGCAUCUACAAUCAACUCUCAAAUAAAUUUGUGCAUGUUAGCUUCCUUCCAGAUGUUCGAGAAACUACCAGGCGCCACGGUAUUACAUAUCUACAGAGUCAACUAAUAUCAGAUAUACUACAAAGCAAAAGUGAAGUGUCUAGAAUUGAUGAUGGAAUUAGUAUAAUCAAAUCUAGAUUCAAAUGGAAAAAGGUUCUCAUUCUUCUAGAUGAUAUAGAUUACAAGAGUCAACUAGAUGCGUUGGCUAGGGAGCGUCAUUGGUUUAUGGUAGGAAGUGUGAUCAUUGUUACAACUAGAAACAAAGCCAUUCUUGAUCAAUCUAAAUUUGAGGUAGACUACAAGUAUGAAUUGAAUGAAUUGGAUAAGGUGCAAAGUUUGCUUUUGUUCAAUAGACAUGCAUUUCGUAUGGACCAUUCUUUGAGGGAGUUUGAGGGUAUAUCUCGUGAUAUCAUAUCCAACAUGGGUGGGCUUCCCUUGGCAAUUCAAGUUGUAGGUUCAUACUUGUAUAAAAAAAUGAAUAGACAGGUAUGGGAAGACGUGCAGGAGCAAUUAAAAAAUGAACCACAUAGAGAUGUCCAAACGAUAUUGCAAAUCAGUUAUGAUGCAUUAGGAGAUGGAGAAGAGCAGAUUUUUCUCGAUAUUGUUUGUUUCUUUAUUGGCAAAGAGAGAAGAUUCGCCCAUGUACAUGUGGGAGGACUGUGGGCUUUAUCCAAGUCAAGGUAUUGAAGAGUUAGAGUUGAGGUGCUUAAUUAAAAUUAGAGAUGAUGGUUGGUUUGAGAUGCAUGACCAAUUGAGAGAUCUUGGAAGGAGCAUUUUUUGCCAAGGACAACCGCUUGAGAAACGUAGCGGACCAUGGGACUACAACUACAAGAGACUCUCAAAAGUACUACGUUUUGGAUUGGUAAAAUAUGGCACUGCUUUCUUUAUUACUCCCUCUUAUUUUAAUAUAUUUAAUCUAAUCUAUUCUACAAUUUCAUCUAGGAUUGACAUGUGCUCUUACUUUCUUGGAGUAAACAUCCACUUAUGUCCAUCUUAGAUUUAUUAUGACAGCUAAAUGAUUAUAAGUGUCUAAAGGAUGAAAAAGUUAUACCAUUUCAUUCAAUUUCAUUGAUAUAAAUUACAUUUGUAAAAAUUUGAUUGACAUUCAAUUUAAGAUCCUUUAACUACAAUUUACACUAUAAAUCUAGUUCACUAAAAGCAUGUAAUUGUCAUAUCUAGUUGAAAAUAUUGAUAAUCUAAAGGACUACAAUAAUGAAUGAAGAUGAAAUAUAAACAUCAUAGAUAAGAUAAAUGAAGAUAUCUUGAAAAAAAAAAAAAAGAUAGCAUGUGCCAAAAAUAAUAACUGAUAAGUAAUUCAAAAUGAUAAGAUUGGAAAAAAUUUCACACUUAUCACAUGUUCUUGCUUACUAGUGUGGCCAAAUCUAUUGGUGGUACUCUUGUGAUUUAGGAAUCCAAUGUUUGAUAUUUUUUUCUCCAUUUUGAUUUUGAAGAUACCCGUCCCUCUACUCUGCUAGUUAUAUCUAUCUCUUAUUUCCUUUUAAUAGAUAAGAUAGCGAAAAUUCCCUUAAAAGUUUUUUUUAGGAAAAUCUUACUUUUUUUAAGGUUUUGUCACAUUGACCUUGCUCAUUUCAUGGAUUAGGUUAGGUGUACGAUAAAUAGUGGAUUUUCUUAUAACAAACAUUUGUAUCCGCUCUAAGUUACUUAUAGCACAUACAACUAUUUGUAACAAAAAAAUCCAUGAAAACUGGCUAAUUGGAGGAAAUGCCAUACUUAUUAUUAUAUCCAUACCUUUGAGUAUAAUGAUGCUCAGCAUGAAGCCAAUAUUUUAGUUAAAUUAACAAUGUUCGUGUCAUUUUAUUAUUAUAUAUUAUCCAUUUAGGUUGCCUCAUGAUAUGAUUUAUACACUAUUGUCCAAUAUCACCAUGUCACUUGUUAAACAGACUUAACAAAAAAAAAGUUUCAGUUUUCAAAAAAAAAUGAUUAAACACUUCACAACAAUAGAUAAUGAUGUUAAAGAUAUGUAAAUAUCUUCUAGAGAUAUUUAGGAUAUUUUCUCUGAGUUUCUAUAUGUAUUUUGAUCAUAUCUGAUUUGACUUUCUUUGAUUUCCUUAGAUAGUCCUGUAAUAGAGUUUAUAAAUAGGCUCUCAAUGUAAUCUCUUCUAUAUAUAGAAAUAUAUUGAAAAUUCCCCAUUUUUUCUCUUCGACAUUAUUAUAUUUAACUAAUGAAAUGAAAAGCAGGUGUUUCCAUAGCUACUUACAGGUGGCCCACUGACAGUCCUUAACAAAUUCUUUCCAAAAUUAUACGAAAGUCAUUAAACUUUACAAAUAAACAUUUGUAUGUGGUAAAAUGGUUUCAUGUAUUUCGUAUUAAAAAAAGUCAAAGUGCACAUGUUACAAAAUUUGAAAAAAAGAAGAAGAAAAAAAUAAAACAUUGAGUUGCAUUUGCUUUAGUUGUUUUAGAGCAAUAACCAUUUUUUCUUUAUUUUCACGUCAUUUGUUUAAUUUUCGAAAGGAAAUUAAAUGUAACUUCACGUGUCCGUAUUUGUACACUGGGAAGGAUAGGGAGGUUACAAAUCGUGCAAAAUCUGAGAUUUAAGAAAAGAAAAAUCUAAAAAGUUAAAAGAAAAAAAAAACUUGCAGAGAUGCAAGAAAAAUCUAAAAAGUUAAAAGAAAAAAAAAAAAAACUUGCAGAGAUGCCCCUUAUGGUUCCGCAAAAUUUUGCGGAGACGCCUCUCCUGGUUCUGCGACAUUUUACGGGCAGAUUCAAGCAGGAACGCCAAUGACGAUCUCCUUUAUGAGGUGAGAUGGCUUCAGUGGAUGGUCGAGCAAAGUGAUUUGUCUCUUUGGAUGAUUAAUUUGCAUCUACCGAAAUUAUCGAUACUGGAUUUAUCAUAUAGUAACAUCACAGAGAAUUGGCGAGGAUGGAGUUCAUUCACUGUAAGAUUGAAAAAAGAAGAUAUCCUUUUUGCGAUUUUAGGGUUUUGUACUUGUUUAGCCGAUCAACUCAUUCUUUGACAGCUUAUUCUUCUUCUGUAUUAGGCAUCAAAGCGACUGAAAGUUCUCAACCUUGAAUGUUGUCCUAAUUUAAGAUGUACUCCUUAUCUCUCGGCAUUCACCCAGUUGAAGAUUCUCAUCUUGAGCCAUUGUGGCGGACUGGAGCAUCUCCACCCUUCUAUCGGCAAACUCAUGAGCCUUGUUUCCUUGGAUUUGAGUUUCUGUGGAUGUCUCAAGGAGCUACCAGAGGAGGUGGGUGAAUUAAAAGAUUUAGAAGAACUUAAAUUAGAUUCUUCUGGUAUUACAAAGAUUCCUAUGUCUAUCGGUUUUUUGAGAAAGCUGGAGAAAUUGAGUGCCUUCUAUUGUGGGUCACUGAGAGAAAUCCCUAGCUCAAUUGGGUAUUUACAGAAUUUGCAACAGCUUCACUUGAGUCAUUCUGCGAUCGAAAAGCUUCCCAAUGCUAUUGGAAAGUUGAAAAAUCUGCGAACUCUAAAUCUCUCACGGUGUGAUAAUCUGAAAGGGGCAAUUCCAAGUGAAAUCAGUAACUUGCCUUUCCUCAAGUGUCACGUCCCGAUCCUCGGGCACGCACACAUCCUUCUUACUUGGUCGAUUUUAUAAUGCGAUAUCCCAGGACUAUAUAUCGCCGACCCUUUCAUUUAUUAAGCACAUGUGGAAGCAGUUAAAAUCCUCAGACAAUAAAAUAAUGGGAUAGAAAAACAGGGCAAUAUUUUUCAUAUUGAAACUUAUAACCAAACUUUUAUACAAACCACAAACUAGAGCACUUCACAACUUUUUACUUUAAACUCUAUUCACAUCAAAAUGAAAAUCUCAAAAGAAGAUAAACUCUCAGCCAUCCAGGCCGUACUCAAGGCCCUUCUCGGGAUUAUCAUCUUCUCCCAAAAAUCUUUCUCCUUAAGAUUCGCCUCCGAGUCCUCCUUCUCGAAUUCCUCCUUCUCAGCUCUUCAGCGGGGUCCUGAAAUGGUUUUCCCCAAACUGGGAUGAGACUACGUCUCAGCGAGUUCUACCCCACUAAGCCCGAUUAGGUAAACCAUUAUACUAAAGGCUGCCUAAACACGCACAGGGCAGAGGACUUACCUUGGCCUCUGAUCCCAGCUGCAAGUCAGUACAAUUCACAAUAAACAGCCAUUUNNNNNNNNNNNNNNNNNNNNNNNNNNNNNNNNNNNNNNNNNNNNNNNNNNNNNNNNNNNNNNNNNNNNNNNNNNNNNNNNNNNNNNNNNNNNNNNNNNNNNNNNNNNNNNNNNNNNNNNNNNNNNNNNNNNGGACCCACGUGCAUUCUCUAAGGCGACCUCUCGCCAAGGUGGUACAUCAAGCCACCGAGCCACGUGUCCUUUUUACGAUGCCCGGGCCCACGUGCAUUCUCUAAGGUACUCGCUUACCAAAGUGACGCAUCAGAUCACCGAGCCACGUGCCCUUUUAGAUGCCAUUCCAAAUACUAGACCCACGUGCAUUCUCUAAGGUACUCGCUUACCAAAGUGACGCAUCAGAUCACCGAGCCACGUGUCAUUUUAGAUGCCUGGGCCCAUGUGCAUUCUCUAAGGUACUCGCUUACCAAAGUGACGCAUCAGAUCACCGAGCCACGUGCCCUUUUAGAUGCCAAACUCUGUCACCGAGCCACGUGCAUUCUCCAGGACGACAUACCGAGUCUCCGAGCCACGUGCAUUCUCUCAGGCGACCUCUUCGCCAAGGUGACAUAUUCAACCACUGAACUCACGUGCAUUUUCCAGGUGACAUUCCAAUUCACCGAGCCCACGUGUCCUCUUUCAAGUGGUUACCAAUCUUCUUUCAAUACCGACAACCAAUGCCCAACGAUUUCUCAAUCAAAUAAUUAAAUCAACUCAACAAAGAAUUAUAAAUGCUGAAUAACAUACUUGGCCAAUCACCAAUCAAUAAUUCAAUCUCAAUCGAUUCCAAUCAAUUUAGGAUAAAUCCCUAAAAUAUCACAAUUUAUUCAAUUCCAUACAACGUAGAGCUCAAAUAAAUAAACGGACUACGCCACGACAAUCAGCACGAGAUUUUGGUCGUCGGCCAUCAAAAUCUUAAUUUCCGAAAAAUAAUUAAUUAAAUAAUUAAUUUCGAAAAUUAAAUAAUUAAUAUUAAAAAUUCAAUUUAGCUCAAAAUAAAGCCUGAUUAAAUAAACGGACUUCACCACGGUCAUCAGCAUAAUAUUCCGGUCCCGGGCUAUCUCAGUUGAAUUUUCGGAAAAUAAAUAAUUAUUUAAUUUAAUUCCGAAAAUUAAUAUUUAAAUACUAAAAAAAUCCACUUAGGCCCGAAAAGCCUAAUUGGAGCCCUCUAAGGGUCAGGAAAAAUCCCGAGGCACUUCCAAUAAUUAGUAGACCACGUCUACUUGCUAAUUGCACAAUCAAUUUAUCUAAAUCGCAUCACAAUUGACUAAUAAUUGCUAAUUUAUUCUAAUCUAACAACCUAAACAUAAUUAAUUAAAUCUAAACCAACCUUAAGCAUAAUUAGCUAACUAAUCAAGGAUUAGUGAGAUUACUCACCAAAUCGCGCGCAAAUCGGAUCAAUCCGACGGCGGCGACGCGAGGAACGAAACUUCCCAAAGCGAUUCACGGAUCCGGGGCCUGGAAACGGCCCAAAACGAGCCUUGAACAGUGCUGGAAACCCAUUUUUCCAGCAACUGUUCUUGGCUGGACGAAGCUCGUUCGGUGGCUAGGGCGGCGAGGGGAGGCCGGCGGAGGACGAGGGGGACGCGGGGGAGGUCCGGCGGGGCUGGGCGGUGGCCGGAGGUGGCCGGACGGGGGUUGGUCAGGGCGAAACCGAGUUGAACAGAGGCUGGUUCGCUCGGGGAGGUCGCCUGGUGCGAGGGAACGGAGCUGGCGGUGCACGGCGGCGAGCGGCAGGCGCGCGGGCGGUUCGGCUCCAGUGCGGCGGCGAUGGGCGACGGGCUGCUGUCUCGGCUUCUUCCACCUCUAGUUCUGCUUGCCCGAAGAAGAAAGAUGAAAAAGGGGGUUCGGUCACGAAGGGGAGAAGAGAGAAGAGAGAGGAGAGAGAGAGAAGGGAUAAGGGGGUUUGACUGGUCAAAAAGAAAAAAAGGAGAGAGUAGGCGUGGGGAAGGGGUGUCCGCACGAAGGGGAGGGGAGAGGAGAGAGAAGAGAGAGAGAGGAAAGAGAGAAGAGGGAGAGAGAGAGAAAAAGAAUUAAAAUAAUAACAUUAUUCUUAUUUUUCUUUUUCUCUUUCCGAUUUUCUUUUCUAUUUUCUUUUGGUCUUCUAUUUUUCCUCCGAUAAUUUCUUUCUUGAAAUUUCGGACUUGGCAAUAAAUUGAUGGACGAUGAGACGGUCCUAAAAAUGAAUUGUGACACGCCCAAAUAUUCGAUUCCCAAAACCGAAUUAAAUUUCAUGAUUAAAAUCGACCAGACGCGAUUCUAGUCCAAUCCAACAAAUUAGGUAGCUUUUAGGGAUUUUACCACGGUUAUAUCCCUUAACGGCUUCACCCAAUUGGUUAGCUAACUCGUGAGUGAUCAGCUCAGAGAAAAAGGACCAUAGGCACGUCGACGAAAUGCACAUUUCAUUUUAUCGAAAUAUGGUCGAAUUUCAGGAAGUCACAUCAAGAUUCUCAUUAUUGAUUUCACACCGAUAUCUGACUUGCCGGAAAGCAUCCAGAAUCUUUCUUCUCUCCAACACCUUGACCUAUCGGGCUGUGAUGAGCUCCGGUCGCUGCCAGAGCUUCCUUCGGGCUUAACAUAUCUGUCAAAGCCCCCAAUUGUAAGAACUCCAUCUUCAGGUAUGCCAUCUACUUGAACACAUCCCAAGCUUUCCUCAAGACCCUUGAAACUCUGUGUUGAGGAGUGUGAUGAGCUGAUAUUGCUUAGGCUCAACAGAUUCAUGUACUUGGAAGAGCUUUCAAUAGAAAGGUGUAGUUCCAUCGAAAGAUUGGACAUUUGUCGAUUGAUUCGUCUGAGCAUUGCGAUAGCCUAGUUGAAAUUCAAGGCCAUGAUAAUUUGGCGUUCUGGGAGGUCAUGUUCAUAUAUGAUUUGAUAAGCUCAAUUUUCAUGUAUGCGGCACUGGAUUUGUGAAGUUGAAAUUGACCUCCUUGCAAAUUAUCCUAUAUUACUGAUUUUGCUAAUUGGAUCUUGCAAAUUAACCGGUGGCAAAUACAUCUUAUUGUCCUAUAGUUUAGGCACUUCACCUUUUCAGCAUAAUUUUUUAACUUCAAUUAUGUUCCUAGACACACACAGGGAAAGUGUUGCUAAAUUGCUUACUUCUUUUAGACCUGUUGGUUUCUUUUUCAUCGGCCAACUAAUGAAGUAUUUGUUCAUUGUGGUCCAACUCCAAUUGGUGUCAAUGUUUAUGCAAUUUUACCUUAUCUAUCAUGGGGUAAAUUCUGAUGCUACGAUCUUGGAUAUCUUCAUUUAUUGAUAAUUAGUCAGUGCUAUCUUCCUUGUGCAGAUUCAGAUUAAAGUUGCAUUUGAUGAAACUUGAUGAAACUUGAAGAAACUCCCAAAACACCACGGGUUGGAGAUAUAGGUAAGAAUGAGCUAUGUCGGUAUGGAAAGGCAUUCCGAAGUCAUUUGCGAUUGGCGUUUAUCAUUUGCUCCAUGUUGUUAAGAAGGAUUCUUGAUAAAGGCGAUCUCUACUCAUGUGGUGUAGUAGUCCGUUGCAAGCUUUGAAAUUGUGCUAUUCUUUAGCAAAGGCUGCAUCACAAAUCUCUUGGAGGAAGACCGCAUGUGCAGGUGGUUUUAUAUGUGAAGUCAAGCAUAAAAUAAGAUUUGUUAACAGGAUUACCAUUUAGAUUUCCACCUCAAGCUACAGUUUUGUGACCGGGAAAGACCUUUUUGUGGAAAAAGCAAAUAAUCUGUCAAUUGCACCCAGUUUCAAUGAAAAGGUUUCCAAGAAGACUGUAGUUUCUCAUUUGGAAAAAUUUUGAACACAAAAUAAAGGCCAUCAUUAGUGUAAAAUCAUCUCUUGUAUGGUUACGUUUGAAAAUUCAUAUGCAGGCUUUUUGCAAUCACUUUGGUUUUAUAACCUAAAACUUGAUUUAUUUAAGCAUGAAUUAAAAAGCAGAAGAGACACAGCCAUGUGCAUUUUCAUACCUAAAACCAAGUAGAGUGCUCUCUCUCUCUCUCUCUCUCUCUCUCUCUCUCUCUCUCAGAUCAAGCAAGCACUGGGGUCUAGAGUGAAGUAUUUGGUUGUUUUAUGCAAUUCUCGAUCAAAUAAGCAUGAAUUAAAAAGCAGAAGAGACACAGCCAUGUACAUUUUCAUACCUAAAACCAAGUAGAGUGCUCUCUCUCUCUCUCUCUCUCUCUCUCUCUCUCUCUCUCUCUCUCUCUCUCUCUCACAGAUCAAGCAAGCGCUGGGGUCUAGAGUGAAGUAUUUGAUUGUUUUAUGCAAUUCUCGAUCAAAGGUUUGUCUGAGUCUCUAGUGUGUAUGGAGUUUAUGUGGGGUCUAUUUCUUGAAGGAGAAUCUGUGCAGAAAAAAUAGUUAUUCUAUUCUUCUUCCGAGUUCUUCUCGCAAUAAACGCUAGUAGCAUUGAUUAUUUGACGUCGUCUUGAUUUUGAGGUUCUUCUUUGAAUGUGGUGUUAAAUGACAAAGAAUGAAUCGGUAGUUCAAGUGAAAAUUGUUGUUUAAGUUGUUUGGACAAGGACGAAGGCAAUUGGUAGAAGCUAUAAGAUUUAUUGAAUGAAUGUGUUUAUUGCAGAAAAGAGGAGAAGAAAGCAAAGAAGAUCAUAUCAAAGCCAAGAUGGGAGAAGGUGCAUCUCAGCGUUCGGCUGGAUCACCAAGUUGAAAUUGGAGAGAGUGGCAAUCUUAGGAUCCACAAGAAAUUUGAUCGUGGAAGAAGAAUGUGGCAAUGGACUAGGACAAGAGCAGAUGGAUAUGUGAGUUAGAACUGAAAGGAGGUGAAUCUAUCGAAUUAGAAGUACUAAUAUAAGAUUUUGCUGAUAUUACUGAUAUUCCCACACCUGUCGGUUCUUUGAGGAAACUCGAGAAACCGAGUGCCAGCUAUUGUGAGUCACUUAGAGACAUCGCUAGCUCAACUUGGGACUUACGAAAUUUGCAACAUAUGGACAUUAGUGGUUCUGGCAUUGAAAAGCAUCCUAGUGCUAUAGGAAGGUUUAAAAAUCUGUGCACUAUAAGUCUCCUAUCAUGCUGUAAUCUGAAAGAGCAAUUCCAAGUGAAAUUGGUGACUUGUCUUCGCUUGAGAUUCUCUAUGUUACUUGAGGAAGUUUUGAUGCUUGUGAGGAUCCAAAAAACUUUAUCUGGUCUUGACAGCACAUACUUGAAUGAUUUUGAUGUUGUAUUUUGAGUUGAGUCUGCUUUUUGUAUGCUCACGAGGUUCAACCUCUCUGUUAAUCAAAUACAUAGAUACUGAUAUUUUUUUUUAUGUCACUCUGAUGCAUAUGUCUUUGAUGUUGUUGCAUUCUAAUGUUAUCACUUCUGAACUCAAAAAGGCUUUGCAGAGGGAGGUAUGCACUACUAGUCAUGCCAUAAAAUUAAAAAAAUAACCUGUGUGCUUAUACUAUAUGAGCUGUGGGAUUGCACCUGAAAAUCAAUAUGCACGUAUUCAUGAGGACGAUCUCCUUCAUUUCUAUCAGUUUAUCAAUGUGAUACUAUCCUUUGAAUGUUGUCAUAUAGGUUUCUGAUUUUAGUAAUUUGCUAAGCUCAAUUCUCAUGCAACGUCAACUUUGUAAAGUAGAAAUUCACCUUCUAGCCAAAUAUCUUGUAUUGCUGAUUUUGCUAACGGGGCUAACGGGAUAUUGCAAAAUAACCAAGACAUAAAUUCAUCUUUCUGUUCUGUAGUUUAAGCACUUUGCCUUCCAGCAUAUUUUUGUUGACAUCAAUUGUGUUCUUAAACACAAACAAGAGUAGUGUUGCUAGUUGCUACUUCUCCCAAACCUGUUGUUUUCUUUUUCAUGGGCCAGCUCAUGAAGUCUCUGUUCAUUGCGGUCCAAUUGCAAUUGGUGCAAUGAUGCUUGUGCAUUUGUACCUUAUCUCUCAUAAUGUAAAUUGUGAUGCUCCGAUCUCAAUUAUCUCCAUUUAUUGAUAAUUAGUAAAUCAUAUCCUUCUUGUGUCGAUUCAAGCUGCAUUUCAUAAAAUUCAGAGAACAUUCCCAAACAUCACUGGACGAAGAUGUGGACCGGAAUGAGAUAGGUCAUGAGACGUUAAGGAAAGGCAUUCCAAAGUUCUUUGCAAAAGGUGCUUAUAACGUGCUCCAUGCUGAUCAUCUUGAUAGGGUUUUUGAUAUAAAGGGACCUCUUCUAAUGUGGUGCAGUAGUCCUUUGCAAGCUUUGAUAUCAUGCUAUUAUUUAGCAAAGGUUGAAUUUCAAAAUGCUUGCAGGAAUGCUGCAUGUGCAGGUGGUUCUAGAUAUGAAGUUAAGCAUAAAAUCAUGUUUGUCAACAAGAUUACUGUUUAGAUGUCCACUUCAAGCUACAAUUUUGUGAAUGCGAGAGACUUCUUUCAUGGAAAAAGCGAAUGUCAUGGAAUCAGUAAAUAAUCUGUCAACUGCAAGCUAGAUUUUCAGUAAAAAGCUUCCCGAAAGAUAGUAGUUUUUCAUUCAGAAGAAUUUUGAGCACAAAAAAAAAGUGUUCGUUAGUGUACAAUCAGCUCUAGUUUUUCAUUUAGAAGAAUUUUGAGCACAAAAUAAAAGUGUCCGUUAGUGUACAAUCAGCUCUUGGAUCUCAAACUUGAUUCCUUUUGAGCAUGAGUCUAUAAAGCAGAGUGGACACAGCCAUUCAUUUUCAUACUUGAAACCAAAUUUUCUUUGGCGUUGGCUACAGUUUAAGACUGAUUAAAAAAAAUGUUAAGAAAAAUCUUUGGAAGGGUGAAAGAAGCCCCUCCCAAAAUUUAUACUUAUUUGGUUUGGACCAAACCAUUGAAUGGUCGUCUACUUGGUUAGUACUUGGACUCUACUUCCAAAUUGUAGUAGUUGGUCAUGCAUUCAAGUUUCAAUCGAACCAAUUUUUUUGGGGCUAGUACUCUCAGAUGUUCCUCUUCAUCGUACUACAUUACAUUGGUGGAACUUUAGUAGUUAAAAGAUACUCACAAGAUAAUCAUAUAUUCCGAUUCAGUCAUUGUCUACUAGAACUUUAACUCAAUACUUUCCGGAGCUUGAGACAAGGCCAAGUAACUUGUUAAGCCAAGUUUGAAUCUUUAAGCACUAAAUCAUACAUAAUGCGGGCCGCACGAACGAGUCAAAACAUUAGUUAAAUAUAUUAAACACAAAAUAAUCUAAUUUUGAGCAUAUUAAUUAUAUAUAACACGAGAAAAGUCGCAAGUAAAGUCAAUCUAUUGAUUAUAUAAUUUAUAACAUAGCUACUCAAUAACACAAGAAUGAUAGUAUGCCAUUUCUUUUUAUAGCAUACAAUCUAGACCUCUACAGUAUGCCAUUUCUUGACGGGCUACUAAUCCAGCAUGAUAGUACAAUGUCUUUAUACAUCACUUCUUAUUCAAGUAUUUUGCGACAUCAACGCAUUCACUCUUUGCAAGGCAAUAUACUAUGCCACAAAAAUUAGCAAAAUAAUUCUUUAGCAGCUCUCCAAGCUGCUUCAGUGGUUCCUCGGUCUUAGCUAUGACCUCAUAUUUUAGACUUAGUGUGACAUCCAGAAUUUUCAGUAUUGUUUUCUAUUAAAUUAAUUGGGCAUUUCAUUGACGGGUCUAUAGGGUUGUUCUCAGAGCUGAUCACUCUCGAGAUAACUAGACUAGCUGGGUAAGCCAUUAAAGAAUAUUAAGGCAAUAGACUUGAGAAUUCGACCAGGAAGCGGCUUCUCGACCGUGUUCAUUUUUAGAGGUCAUUACUGCACAGUAAAGAUCGAAUUGAGAUCAGAGAUAGGUCGGUUCGACUGAGAUGUGUGGCCGAUCGUGGGUGACUCCACUAAAUUGGAAAAUUCUCGUCGACCGGCACUAAUUUGAUUUUCUGUCGUUUUGGUACCCUGUGUUGGUAGUCGAGCCCUCGAGAUUUUCACGACAAUUGAGAGUCGCCAAUGUGUCGAGUGGGUUCAUUGUGGCUCGAAGAAAAUCGACCACGAGUCAAUUGCCCUAAAAAGUUCUGAAAACUACCCGGUAGUCUAGGUCACACUAAAAGCACGCCGGAGUGAAAUUAACCGUCGAUUUGAGUCAGAUUUCAGAAAUCGAAAGUUCAGUGAUGUCACAAGCUAUUUUUGGAGCAUCGACUCAGUCUUAGAAGAUUUUCGGAGAUUCAGGAAUUUUUACAGAAAACCGUUUCGGACGUCGCGGAAGUUUGGCCGAAGUUCAGAUUGGCUAAAAUAAUGGGAAAUUUGACUUUCGGGUUGAGCUUGUGUGUGUCGGAGAUUUAUAGAAGCCAAAUGAAGAUGGAUUGAAAUUAUUCAAGUAUCCAAUUGAGAGGAGAUGAUCCCAAAUUCGUAACCCCCCAUAAGCCUAGCUAAUUUGAACCAAUUGGAAGGUCAUGGAGACUGUCUUGGUGGCUCAUUGGAGGCCAUGAGUUAUACUUGGCCUAGGAUAAAUCUUAGAGAGCAAGAUUGGAAAAUAUCAAGCCUUGGUGGAGCCCUCCACUCUCUCUUAUCCUCAAGACCAUGCGUGACCAGCAAAAAGGGAGGUAGAACCAGCAAAGCUUCCUCCGCGUGUCUUCCUCAACUCCACUUCUCUGCCCCGUAAACGACUGCAACCCAGCGUCCACCGAAGCCAUCUACCGAGCUUUCUUCAUGUCAGCUGCGAGAUCUUCAAUUUAAAUUGCUCCUCGCCACUUGUCCAUGUCCAGUGGAUCUUCAGUCAAUAGCAGCCGAGUUUCUCCCAUUCGGUUGACCCUACAACGCCAGCGAAGAUCCCUGCAGCAGCUUCACCGAGUCCAACAUCUUCAGUCUUCCCCUGUGGCGUGCCCUCAGCUCGACGCCAGCCCGCCAGUCAACUCCAACGCCCUCAGAAGACCACCGAUUCAACCAAGUCCUCGCCCACGCAGAUCCAGCAACCGAAGCUGCUCCCCAUCUCUGCCAUGUUUCGGUCGAUUUCACUGGUCAAAGUCCAGCUGAAAACCAUUGAAGAUUGAUCGAGGAAAUCCCCCACCGAGCGAAGCCCUGCCACGAAGCAAAUCCAAUUUCCUCUCCAUCUUCAGCGCCCGAAGUUCCUCACGUGGCCAGCUCCACCUUCGUUUAUUCACAAAUCAAUUCACCGAAGGCAGCAUCGAUCGGUCAAUUGACCGCAUACUCCCACGACCAGCUGCACGCGUGCCCUCAGCCCAAACCGAAGCUUCAGCCCAGCAAGUUGAUUGUUUUCACAAGUCAGCCCAGUCUUUGAAGUCCUGCGGCCCAAGAAGCCCAGCAAGUGCUAUUUCAGUCAAGCUUGGCCCAUUUCAGUAACAAAUCUCAGUUGGGCUGAGAUUUGUUGGGCCAAGGUCAAGGCCCGGGCCCAAGCCCGCCGGUGUUGUCGAAAGUCCGAUUUCGGCCGCCGUCGCGUCGCCGUUGCGGUGAUUCGGUCUCCGCUUUUGUCAAGUGAGUUUUACUCACUAAAGCUUUCUUAGUUUGCUAAAUAUGCUUAGGGGUUGGUUAGAUUUAAUUAAAUGCAAUUAGGUGGUUAGAUUAGUUUAGAUCAAUUAAAUUAGAGACUUAAUGAUGCAUGUUAGGUGGUUAGAAAUAGACAUUAGCAAGUAGACAUGCCCUGUUAUUUAUGGAGCGAAUCUCGGUAAUUUUCCGGGCUUGUCUCGGAAUCCAAUUCGGCAUUAUAAGCCUAAAUUGGAUUUUUAUAAUUAUUUAUUUAAUUUUCGAAAUUAAUUAUUUAAUUAUUUAUUUUUCCGGAAAUUCAACCGGGAUGGCCGGUGACCGGAAUUUCGUGCUGAUUGUCGUGGUGCAGUCCGUUUAUUUAUUUGAGCUUUAUUUGGUGCUAAAGUAAUUUAUGAGUGAAUUUAAGAUUUAUUCCUAAAUUGAAUCUGGAGAGGGUGGGGUGGGACCGUAAAGCCACUAGUUCUUGAGAGGGUCGGGUGGGACCGUAAAGCCACUAGUUCUUGAGAGGUUCCGAUUGAUACGAAAUCGACUAGGUCGAUUCGAUCGAUGCUUCGAUCGGUGAUGUGAUUGUUUGAAUGCCUAUUGAACUGUACUAAUAUGCAGAUGGAAUCUGAGGCCAAGGUAAGUCCUCCAACUCGUGCCGUGUUUAGGCAGCCUAUAGUGUAUUGGCUUUCUAAUCGAGUCUUAGGGGGUAGGACUCGCUGAGACGUGGUCUCAUUGGUUAUUGAAUAACCAUUUCAGGACCCUGAGGAGAAGCUAAGGAAGGGGAACCUGAAGGGGAGAAAGUAUUUUGAAGUAGAAGAUGAUCCAGAGAGGGAUCUUGAAUAUAACCCGGAUGUGGAUUGAGAUCCCAUCCCUUUUGUGAACCCUGUCUUGGUAUAGAUAGGUGUGAGACUUUUAUGCUGUAAAUAGUAUUGUAAAUAUACUAUGAGUUGUGCUGUUAAUGAAAGUGUGGUUGUGAAUUUCAAUAUGAAAAAUAUGGCCUGCUUUCCUAUCCCAUUGUUUUAUUGUCUGGGGAUUUAUAACUGCUUCCGCAUGUGCUUAAUAAAAAAAAAGGGUCGGCGAUACAUAGUUCUGGGAUAUCGCAUUAUAAAAUCGACCAAGUAGAAGGAUGUGCGUGCGUCCGAGGAUCGGGGCGUGACACUUAGUCUGUCAAAGCUUGUCUCAAGAACAAGAGCAUGGGGAAUCCCAAAAGAUUUUAGGAUAUCUUACAAUGGAUGGAUAAUUCAAUCAGAAUGAACAGAUUAUUUCAACAUAAUAAGGAGAUUAAUAUAUAAGUUUAGUACCUUGCGAAUUGAGUGAGUGGCAGUUUCAGCUAAGGCCAUCACUAGGUCAUAUGCAAAGUUAGGCUUGAGACAUACCGGUCCAUAAUCUGGAUGAGAAUCGUGUCCCCAUAGACUACAUUAAUGACAACCACAAAGUGACAAUCAAUGAGCUUUCAACGUUAAUCAGUCACAAGUACAAGAAAAGCUCAAAUCAGCAGUCUGUUCCUUUCAAGAGAUCAAACUGACAAAGCAAAUCUAGUUAAGACCUUGUAAGAAACACAAUCAAUGAUCACAUGGUUGAACCUUUGCUUUCGCAAAUUGUUAACAUAAAGUAUAAGCGUUAAUGAAAUAAAUAGGGAUACGAGAACCAGCUUAAGAGACUGAGUAUCCUCCCGAAUAUAGAGAGGUGAUUGGAUCCUUAUCCAAGCUUAUGCCGGAUCCAAUUACUCUAGGAAGUAAUUUCCAUUGGAGCUUAUUUAAGUUGUGUCCUCUUUACUCAAUAUAAUGAAUGAUGUGCCACUGAGUGUUCCAAAAUGACAAAACCUAAAUCUUUUCAUCAAACAAGGAACACUGCAUUCUGUUAUAUUAGAACUUCACAUGGUUCUAGGCUUCGGAAGGUCUAGUGUAACACUAACAAUUUUAUUUAGGCUAGAAACCCAGAAAAUGCAGAAAAGUUUGGAAAAAUAGUUCAAGUCAGCAUAUAUAAAAGUCAACUUGCUUAUAUUUAUCAGGAACAAGAACAACAGUUUUGCAGUGGCAACAUCACAAAUAAUUAUUCCUUUUGAAGUAGCUCUAGCAUGACCUUUCUUCAUGUACAAGGCAUGCUAAAUAUUACGCAUACCUCACGCAAUGUGCCUCAUCAAUAACAAAACCAGCUAGUUGUGCCUGCAAUGCAUGAUGGUCGAAUAUAAUACAUUUACAAAGGAACCUUUUAGAAAAAAAGUAAUGAUGCAUCAGAAACAAUCCCUUUCUAUGCAAGCAUUUCAAUAUCUCAAGAAAUGAUGGGUUUCCCACAAUCCUUUCAAUAGUUACAUACAAUAGCUUGCAUGAUGGUUUAACUUUUCUGAAAAGGCAGGCAAAGCAGAAGUGGAGAUAUAUAAUUUAACAAUCACAAUACUCAGCAUAAAUCACAAGCCUUCGUUUAUGCAAAACAUUCCUAUCAAAGACGCCUGAUUGCUAAUCCACACUUUGACAAUCUGCUGUACUCAAAGUAUUUGAGAAAUAUAGGUAUUUGUACAUCAUCCAAAACUUAUGUCAACUUCUCUAUUGACCAAAGAGUUCUAAUAUGUCAUUUUGGAUCUUGAAGAGUGUGGAAGAAAUUGGCAAAAGUUAAGAUUGUCUAUUGGACAUUUGAUUAGAUGAGAAGCUGCAUAAGCAAUUUAUUAAAUGCUUUUGGACAUGUACAUUGUGUACAUCCUUUGUUGUGUGCAGAAUCACAAGCAAAUUGAAACCGACCAAGCAGAGAAUAAAUUAUAUGAGAACACAACUGUGACACAGUGAUUUAAGUGGUUUGGCAAGUAUUGGCUAUGUCCAUGGUUGAACCAUACCAUGGACUCUAAAGAUUGUCUGGCCAGAAGUUGAGUGGAAAAAUAGUUGGUACCUUAUCUCUUCUUGCCCUCCCUGAUUCUUGGUAAUAACUUUCGAUUGACUUGGACAUUGUGUUGCGGUUGACAAAAUGCUGACCGCAUGCCAUAAAAUAUAAUUACUAAACCAAUAAAAAAAGUAGAAAUAUGACAAAAACAUUAUAACUAAAGGUCAAGUUAGAUUAGAGUCAUUUGCCACUUUUACUGUAAAGAAAAGAACUUUAUCCUAGUUGAACUUAAUUUCAGCACACCAAAGUUCCAUGCUUGGAAGAAAGAAUUCGGCUAGAAAAAUAGCCAAGAAUGACAAUUUAGCAGGCCACUGGACCAUGGAACUAGCAAAGUUUACUUUAAAGCACACUAAGAAACCAAUUAGUGAUACUUAAACAUUUGAAGAAAAGUGGAUUAAUCGAGUAUUUGCCAGCAUGUCAGUUCGGUUCUAAAACUAAAAAUAGACAAAGGUGCAAAGUCUAUUUCAGCUUACAACAUUCGGUUUGUCUAUUCCCAUGCCAAAAACAAUGGUAGCACAUACAACCUGGAUCUCUCAAGUGUGCCAUUUCUUUUGAACAGCUACUCUUUGACGGGCUGCUAAUCCAGCAUGAUAGUACACCAUCCUUAUACCGCACUUAUCAUUCAAGUAUUUUGCAACAUCACAUUUACUAUUUGAGAGGCAAUAUACCAUGCCAAAAAAAUUAGCAAAAUGAUUCUUUAACAACUCUCCAAGCUGCUUAGGUAUGACCUCAUACAUUAGAUUUGGUCUGUCAAAUCUGUCUCAAGAACAAGAGCAAGGGGGAUCCAGAGAGCUUUCAGGAUUUCAAUCGGUCCCAAAUGAUUAUUUCAAUAAAAUCUGGAGUUUAAUGUGCAAGUUUCGUUCCUCACAAACUUGCUGAGUGGCAGUUAAGGCCAUCAUUGGGACGUAUGGAAAUUUUUGCUUGAGACAUCCCAGUCCUCUAUAAUUUGGACAAAAAUCAUGUCCCUGUGGACUGCAAUAAUGACAACAAAGAAAGUAAUGAUCAAUAAGCCUUACCCGUUUACAAUCAUUCAAAUAUACAAGAAAAGCUUAAACCAGCAGUAUGUUCCUUUCAUGAGAUUGCGCUGGCGGCACAAAUCCAGUAAGGACCUCAUAAGAAACACAACCAACGAUCCAAUGGGCAAAGUUUUGCCUUAUAUCUCAAGUUGUUAAUAUCAAGCCAAACAUGGACACUUCCAAUCACUUCCGAAAGUAAUUUCCAUUGGAGCUCAUUUUAGUUGUGUGCAUUUUGCUUUGUUUGAUUAACGAUGUGCUGCUGACUUUUUCCCAAAAGAAGGAACUAGGUCAUUUCCAUAAUUAGUUAUUUCAAUAUUGCAUUAUGUUAUACUAGAUCGUCACAGAAGGUCGGGGUUUCAAAAGGUUCAGUGUAACACCAACAAUGUACUUAGGCUAGAAACAUAUAAAAUGCAAAAACGUUCAAAAAAGAGAGUUUGAGUGAGCAUAUAUAAAAGUUAACUUGCUUUUCUUUAUCUAGGACAAGGAGAGUUGUUUUGUAGUGGCAACAUCAUAAACACAUAUUCCUUUUGAAGUAACUCUAGCAUGAACUUUGCUUCAUGCCAAAGAGCAUACCUCAUACAAUGUGCCUCAUCAACAACAAAACCAGCUAGUUGUGCCUGCAAUGCACAACAAUCGAGUAUCAAAAAGUUAAAAAGAAACUUUCAAAAAAGUUAUAGUUUAUCAAAAAUAGUACCUUUCUACGCAAGCAUUUCAAUAUCUCGAGAAAUGAUGGGUUUCCCACAAUCCUUUCAGGAGUUACAUACAAUAGCUUGCAAGAUGGAUUUUCCUGAAAAGGCAAGCGAAAAAGUGGAGAUUAAUGACUUGAUAAUCACAACACUCAGCAAAAUAAAUAAAUAAAUAAAUAAAUAAUUAGAAGUCCGAUAGAAACCCUAUAGCAACAAUUAUAGCCCAACAUUUUAUGGAAAAAUGAUGAUUGUAUGGUAUGAUGUACUUCUCUAGGAACACUAAGAUCCUAAAAUUUAUUUUUAAGGCAAACAUCUUAGGCAUGAAUCUUCUCAUUAACUACAUGAAAAAUGUGCAUUCAUUGCAACAUAUGGAGCAUAGCAUUUAUGGCAGGAUAAAGAUCGUAUGGUAAGAUAUACUUCUCUAGGAACACAGAGAGAGAGAGAGAGAGAGAGAGAGAGAGAGAGAGAGAGAGAUCGUAUGGCAAAAUAAUGAUUGUAUGGUAUGAUAUACUUCUCUAGGAACACUAAGAUCCUAAUAUUUAUUUUUAAGGCAAACAUCUUGGGCAUUAAUCUUUUCAUUAACUACAUAAAAGAUGUGCAUUCAUUGCAACAUAUGGAGCAUAGCCAUUUUAUGGCGGGAUAAAGAUCGUAUGGUAAGAUAUACUUCUCAUAAGGAACACAUAGAGAGAGAGAGAGAGAGAGAGAGAGAGAGAGAGAGAGAGAGAUGGAGCAUAGCCAUUUUAUGGCGGGAUAAAGAUCGUAUGGUAAGAUAUACUUCUCAUAAGGAACACAUAGAGAGAGAGAGAGAGAGAGAGAGAGAGAGAGAGAGAGAGAGAGAGAGAGAGAGAGAGAGAGAGAGAGAGAGAGAGAGAGAGAGAGAGAGAGAGGGGAGGGAGAGACAGAGAGAGAGAGAGAGAGAGAGAGAGGGGAGGGAGAGAGAGCUAAACCUUACCUAAGAUCUUGGAGGACAGCCGAUGCUUGGGCAGCAGUUUGCUGAGACUUCAAGAAAGUAGAUAGUAUUCCACACUUGAGGGCUAGAGUAAUUAUUUGAUCCUGGAUGAUUGAUAGAAGGGGACAUAUAAUGACUGACACUUGGUUUAAGAGUUGCUGGCAGCUGAAACGAAGGGUAAAAACAUCAGAAGAACACUUGAAGAAAAGGUGGGAUGAGGGAAUUAUCCUUUCAUUCACCUUCAGCUGAUCAGAAAGCACUGGUUGUUACUAUUUGUAUUAUAUUUACUUCAACUAGAAACAUAUAUCAACUAUUUCAAGACUGAAUAGAAAACACUUUAGGAUAACUCAACUUAAUAAAUUCAGAAUAAUAACUUCCUUUGAGAUUCAGUAGACCAAAUAUUCGCAUGCUACCAAGAUCCAUUAUAUGAUCACCCUAGUAGAGAUGAUGACAUAGCACAUACCUGCAGGAGAUAUAGACAUCUACAAUCUGUAUUUGGUGCAAGUAAUUUGAAAACUUACUCCUCUUUGACUUAAUAACCCUUUUGAAUUGGACCUAAACUAUGACUGACAACAACACUUACAUGCAAAAACAAGAUAAAUUUUCCAAUAAGUAAUUAGAAGGUCCUAGAAGCAUAGCACAAACCUCGAAUUCUAGAAAUCACAGAAUAGAUAGAACUGUGCGAAGGCAGAACAAGAAUGUCCUGCAUAAUAUUCUUUUCCUACUUAGUCAGAUCCUGUACAUUGGAACCCAUGGUUCUGUAGUUGAAUCACUUCUUAUAGCUUAAUUUGCAUUUGGAAAACAUUUGUAUCCUUAAGUUUGAGCACAAACUUUGUAACAGUGCCAACAAAGCAAAUUCUAAGAUCAUUUUAAAGCUUAAAUUUCAAUAUACAAGUCUGUCCAUCUAGUAUUUAAACAAUGGAACCAUUAAGCAAAGUGCACAGGGCUUGUGCUCUAAACAUUGUCUCCACUUUCUUCUACUUACAAUCAUCACGUUGUGACAAUUUUAACAUUCACUAAACUGGCAACAUAAACUUUUACCACCUCCAAUGGGCAUGAGAAUGAAGCAAUCUUGCUUGGCUAUAGAAGCUUUACAUGCCUGAUGCCGCAUUGGUCAAAAUGCCUUGUUUCUGAGACAAUGUUUGCCGAUUUUAUUUGAAACUAACGAUAUUGAACAUUGAGUGACAGUGCUCUUACAGUCCUUCAACAGAAUUAAGCUUCUUUAGCACCGUAAUAGUUUCUGACAUGGAUUGUCAUGGAAAAUGAAAAAUGUGCACAAAGAUCACGAGCCUUCAUUUAUGCAACACAUUCCUAUCAAAGACGAUGGAUCGCUAAGUUCCACACUUUGAUGAUCUGCUAUAUUCUCAAAGUAUUUUGAGAAAAUUGUUACUCAUACAUCAUCCAAAACUAAAGUCAACUUCUAUAUCGACCGAAGAGGUCCAAUAUGUCAUUUUGGAUCUUGAAGAUUGUGGAAGUAAGUGGCAAAAGUUAUAACUGUCUAUUGGACAUUUCAUUGGAUGAGAGGCCCCAUAAGCAAUUUACUAAAUGCUUUUGUACAUGUACAUCAUGUAGGUCCUUUGCUGUGUGCAAAAUCACAAGCAAAAUGCAAAUGAUCAAGCAAAGAAUAAAUUAUACGAGAACAUAAUAGUGACACAGUGAUUUAAGUGGUUUGGCAUGUCAUGGCUAUGUCCAUGGUUGAAGCAUACUAUGGAUUCUAAAGAUCGUCUGGCCAGAAGUCGAGUGGAAGAAUCGCUCAAAGUACUGCUUUAGUCAAGAACAUAGCAUGUAGAUUUCCUGCCCAUUUUACUGCCAAAUAUCUUGCCUUCGUCAUCACUAUCAGUAGAGGAAUCCUCACCUCAAGAAAAGUUUGGUUUUUCUUAGGUUGUGGAGAAUCUUCUAUAACAUGGACAUCGUGUAUAACUUUGCAUUCAUCGUCAUAACGGAUAUCUUGGCCAAACAUAUUGGUCAAAAUUCCACAAGCUUCUGAUUCUGCAGCUUGCAAAUCAUCCCAAUCCUAAGAAUCUUGCAUGGUUUCGGCAAGUUCUGCUAGGAAGUUAUCGUCACAGUGCUCCACAGUGAUAAACUCUCGACCUUAGUCCAUCUUAAGAAAACCAAAAGAAGAAAGAGAUGGCUUUGCAAGUUCCAUGUCAAGCGAGAGAUCAAAUAAAUACAAUCUUCAGUACGUAAUUUGCACUUAGUUCAGUGAGACGAUAUUAGUAAUAUUGCAAGACACCAUAAGCAAUUCGCAGUGAGUUUAGAAAUAAGCCAUAUAGUUCACUAGUCAACAGGACUACUCCACCAAACCCACAAAGAAACAAGGAUGGGAUUAACACUCAAUGAACUAAAUUUAACCAGCUCCGGUCCAUUCCAAUCCAAAGUAGACUAUUCCAUAGCCAUCAUCAAAAUCAUGACUAGCUGCGAUAAAUGUCCUUAUUAGCAAUGCACAAUCAACCAAUUCACAAAUUAUCCACUCAACACAAGCAAUCAUGUCAUUCUCUAAUGACUAGAUAUUGUGCAAUUUGGUCAAUAAACAAGGAAAAACCAUCACCUAAAGUAACCUAAAACAUCAAACUAGAACGGUGCCAGACUUUUUGCCCAUCAGUAAAACUACUUCACGGAACCCGCUCCAGUCCAUUCAAACCUAGAGGAGACUAUUCCACAGCCAUCAUCGUCGUGGUGGACGAGAAAUACCUACACAACCUCUGCAAACACUAAUCAGCAAAAAAAAAAAAAAGGCGGGUGAUAAAGUAACGAUUCGAGUUACCGUAGAGGGAAACAAGACAGUUCAAGCACUUGCUGGCAGACUCCUCAUUGAAGCCGAACUUGAGAGCCAAUCUCAGCAACCCCGAGCUUUCCAUUGAGUCUCAACCUGUUCGACGCGAUUUGAUCGAUCGAUGAUGCAACAGUAGGAAUGGAAAAUCGAUCCGUAGUCUCUCUCUCUCUCUCUCUCUCUCUCUCUCACUCUGCCUUUUUUACCUGCUGGAGUGAAGAGGCUGGAGCCAUUUUUUCUUUUUCAUUCUUUCAAAAAUUCCGUUUUUGCACCUGAAUUUUGUUGGAAGCUCUAUUUUUGCCCCCUCAUAAGUUUUCUUGGUUUCAUUUGACACCCUUGGGUUGGGUCUGAGUAAAUAUUAGAAGAAGAGCAAGUAUUUCACGUGAGAGUUACAAGUAUACCGUCACGUGAUACAUCAAGCCAAGCGUUAUUUAACAAAGUGGCUAUAGGUUACAAUUAGCAGUGAGAUUGUCCAAUUAGUCCUGAAACUAUAUAUACGUAUAUCAAUUUGGUUAUAAACUUAUCAAUUCUACCAAAUAAAUCCAAAAUAUUUGCUAAAAAAAAUAUAAUAUAAUCAUUAUGGCAAAUUUUUGCUAAACAUUGCUGACAUUGUAGUGUGCCGCAUAAGACGACAAACAAUAAUUGGACUCCUGCGUCAACAAUUUCUAGCGAAAAUUGACCAGAAUGACUACAUUGAAAUUUCGCGCCAAAGUUUAGGAUUAAAUCGACAAAAUUAAAAAAAUUUAGAAUCGAAUUUGUAUAUGUACAAUAAAUUUACAACCGAUUAGGUAAUUUCCUUUAAAACUGGCAAAGCAGCUUUACUUUUUUGUGUUUUUUUUUUUUAAUUUCAAGUUAUAUAAAGUCCGAUUUGUGACAUUUAUAACAUGAAACCCAAGAAGAUCUUCUCUCCUUUCUUUGUCACGUUUUUUUUUCUAUUCUUUUAGGGCUUUUUCAUUUAUUUUUCUUUUUUGCCAAUGACGUUCUUUAUUUUCUUUAUAUGUUGAAUUUCUAAAUCCAUGGACCUUACCCCUAAUCUCAAAUUACAUAAACACCCCCCUCACGUUGAUGUUAUACUUAACUAUUGCGUAAAAAACUGACGUCUUUCUCUUUUCUAUUUUUUUUUCCUCUGCAAAGAGAAGAUUUUGCGUGUCAAACUUAAGAAGUUUUUUUAUUUUUUUCUAUUCAACUUAAUUAUAAAGUUUGGAUGGUUAUGUUAUUGACGGUCUAUGUUGAACGUUCUUAUUUUGCUUUUUUGGGGAAUGCGGGUUUUCUUAAGACUCAGCAUCAUGAGCCGGAUCAUCAUAGCAAUUGAAACUCAUUUUUACGAAGACAAGCAUGGACCUAGAAAGCCUAAUUAUCCAAUGGGGUCGGCCCAGUUGAUAUUGGCGAAAACACGUGUUGAGUUAUAAUACUAGGGGCGGUUGGGGGAUCGCUCACUUAAUCGCAGCUCCAGUGGAGGCAAAUUUGUUGUUUGUGAUGGGCGGGGGUGGUGUGGUGACAGGGAUCUAACCUCUCCUUUCAAAAAUUGAUCUUUGGAUAAGGGCGGGCGGCAGCAACCGCGCCCGCUAAUGGAGCGACCGUGAUUGAAUUGAAUGGGAUGGGAUGGGGAGGGGCUUGGCAGUGGGCACAAACCUCCAGCGAGUCUACUGCUUUUUGAGGGUUGAGGUUGGGCGAUGAUGAUGAUUUACGCGACAGAUUUGGAAGAGCGACCCGUUUCUUUCUUCUCCUGUUGCUGCUGAGUUCCUUCGUCUUGCACGUGACCCAUAUGGUAAAAACACAAAGAUAAGAAAAGCAGCCCAACAAGCGCGAUGGCGACAGAUGAUACAAGCAUCCCCAUUGACUUCACCAUCAGAAUGACAUCGAGAAUCAGAACAUACCAAAGAAUGCUGGGAGAGACAGAGAGACAGAAGAGCUUUAAAAAUGGUCGCGAUUCGAGGAUGAACAACGUGAAGGUUCAGACCUUAGAGCAUGAAAAAGAGCAAGUUAAGAGGGACGUAUUUUCCAAACGUGGGAAUUCCUAUGAGGGGCUUGCCCACAUAUGCGAAAAGAGACAACACUAAACUUGGUCACAAAGAAAGAGUAUUUUGACAAAUUGGAGAAUCGUGCCCGCUUGAAUUAAAGCGGUUUCCACAAAAUGUUUCAAUUAAAGUUGUUUACGUCCCAACCAUGCAACAUCGAAUGGUCGACACUAACUAAAUCACCACAUGAGCAAUUUUGAGCGAAAAUGGAGUAAUGAAUUGAUAAUUUUCCCUCAGAAUUAAGCUAAAAAAAUUAUCAAGUUGCCAUAAUUUUCUAACGUGUAUUUAGAUAGCCUCUCUAUGAAAAUCAUACGAUCAAGAGGGUGGAGCGGACACCUAACCCACUACUAUUAUAUAGAAAAAAGGAUGGACGCCAGUUUCCUUAUUUGCCCUUACAUUCAAUCACAAGAAUAUAAGUCAAAUGUUACUAGGUUUCUCUUUAGGGCGCGUUUGGUAAUGAAUUUGUUCCCGGGAGCCGAUUCUGACUAGGGAUGAUUAUUUUUUAUUCUGUUCCCGGGAACUGAUUUUGAGUAAAAAAACGUGUUUGGUAACUGUCCAAAUUUUUUAAUUCUGGCAUAGAAUUGCGUUUGAUACCGUGCUAAUUGAUUAUGUUCCAAAUUAAUUUCUUUUGAUUUUUAAAUAAUUUUUUACUUUUUUUCUUUUCUUUUUUCCUUUUUUUUUCUUUUAUUUUUUUCCCUUUUUUCCUAUUCUUCUUCUUCUUCAUGUGGCCGGUCACCGGACUGGCCCUCGUCGGCCGAGCCUCGCUGGCAGCUAGGCAAGGCUCACCUAGCCUUGCCAGUGGCCAAGCCGGCCUCGCCCAACCUGGCCACCGGCGGGGUUGGGCGAGGCUCGCCCAGCUGCCGGCGAGGCUGGGCUUGCCUCUAGCGAGCUCGUUGGACCUCGCCUUGUCCUGGUGAGCCUCCAGCAAGCUUGCCGGACUGGCGAUUGGCGGCGGAGGGCAGCGGCGGGCGACGAAAACAGUGGCGGGCGGUGGCGAACGGCAAUCGCGAGAUGACGGAAGGGAAGAAUGAGAGUUUUAUUGUUUUGAUUCUUUUUUUGAUUCUCGGACGAAGAAUCAUAUUUUUUUUUUCUCAAUUCUCUUCCCAAUCUGUUUUCGGGAACAAAUUUGUUCCCGAGAAUUAAAAUUUUACCAAACAUGAUUCUCGUCCCAAACUGAUUCUGGGAACAAAAAAUCAGAAUCAGGCACUGUUUGGCACGUUGCCAAACAGGCCCUUAGUAACCAACGGUGGGGUUAUGCUUUUCCCCUUAAAAAAGUUUAGUGUGAAUUAUUUUAUUAUUCUAAAAAUGCAAUGUGUUUCGUAUUAAUAAAAAAAUUUAUAUUGUAUAUAUCGAAGCUCAUAUAUCUUCGGAUUAUAAUAUAUAUGUAUAUCGAGAGGCGUAAACUAAAAGCUUAUGCUAAGGCUUCAUCAGUUCCAUGGCAAGUAAUUCCUCGAAUGGAUGCUCAUAUUAAGGAAUCUCGUCCUCCUUUUCAAUUGCCUAAAUUGUAAGAGAUUUAAAUCUUUUGAAAAGGAAUACUUCUCAUUGGCAGCGGCAACUACGAUAAACGACUGGCGACUAGGGACCAAUGGGGGCAGCAACUUGCGGCCAAUGAUAGUGGCGGCAAAGUAUAGUGGUUACUGGUUUUAGGAUCUGGAAUUGGAAUGUCCAUAUAAGCUAUUGCCGAAUCAUUCCCCGCAUGCUUUUCAAGGAAAAUCUUAUUCCUUGUGGAACCCAAUUUCACAUUUCGAUUUCACUCCAAACAUGAAAAUUACGGGACCCGAAAAUCUUGUUUAGAAGCUUUUCUGGGUAGCUGGCUCUCCAGCCUUUUCCAAUGGAAAGAACGCACUUCUGGUUCGCGACCGACCCAACGAACGGUAGGACGACAGAGCUAAUUAAGUCACGACAAAGUCCAAAGACCCCCUGAUUGCGGGGGAAGGUGAGGAAGGUCCCACGUUUGAACAUUCAAAUAUCAUUUAUCUGUUGCUGUGCAUCAGCAAAAGAAGAUAUUGGCAAAGUAAUACGGUUGGUUAGUUACAUUUUUACCUUUAAUAUAUUUCAAUGGAACGAUUUACAAAAUUUUGGAAAAAUAACAUUUCCAACACUACUUUACCGUUGGCAAAAACUAAAGAACUACUCUUUUUUUUUUUUUUUCAAACAGAACCUAUUAUAUUUAUGGACCAAACUGAUUACAAGCAGCAGCUAUCGCAUCAGCGUAAAUAAGAUCUAAAAGAGGGGGAGGGGGAAAACCAGCCCAGUUACUUCGCUUGGAAUUGACCCUAUGGGCCUUCGCAGCCCAAUUAGCAGCAACAUUUGCCUCACGACUACAGAAUGCUAGGGAAAUAUUGGGAAAAAACAAAAGCAGGAAGGCAGCUUUGAAGAAGAGGCUUCGUUCUUGCCAUGGCGGCGAGCGUUGACCCUUCAGUGUCUCAAUGAGGGUUUGGCAAUCAGAUUCAAGAGUCAGCGCAGCAUGAGAGAGGUCUUGAUCAAUCAAAUGAUGGAGAGCAAGCAAGCAAGCGUGGAUCUCCGCCUGCAGAGCCGAGAAGGCAGCAAAGCUAUCUGAGAAGCCACCAGUAAGUUGUCCUUGCGAAUCACGACACACACAAGCCAUAGUCCCUUCCCUGCUCCCCAGUUGAUAAGAUCCAUCGAUAUUGACCUUUAAAACCCCCGGAUCUGGGGGUCUCCAUAUAGUUUCGUGAUGUUGAAAAAAAGCAGCUUUGCAGGUGGAAGAACGAGCAACAGUAGAAUCCACACGAGAUUGAAGCACUGCUUCUUCAGCUACACGAUGCGGAUCAGGAUGUUUUCGUCCAAAAAUAAAUGCAUUUCGAGCCUUCCAUAUGUGCCAAGGGACUGUGGCGAUCACUGGAAGACUAGGUAAGGGUUUCUGAUCACCGGCAUGCUCUAUGAUCCAGGCUGUGAUAUUCCUUAUAUGCUGAGUUUGAAUGGGGAGGUUGAUCUGAAGAUUACUCCAAACACGCCAAACCCAGGGACAGAAUAAGAACAAGUGUUCCAAGGUUUCCGGGGUGUCUUGAUCACAAAUAAGGCAUUUUGGAUUGUCAAUGAUAUGCCUAUGAUGCAGAUUAACUCUUGGUGCUAAACUAUUUUGACAUAAUAACCACCAGAAGUGGCCUACCUUAAGAACGGUGUGCAUUUUCCACAAUUUGUGCCAUAAUAAAGAUGGAUGUUGAUGUGAAGAUGAAGGCGCGCUAUUGAGUUUAAGCUCUGCUGAAUGGUUGAUAUUGUGAUAUGUUGAUUUAACUGGGUAAUCCCCAUUAAAAAUAACAGUCCAAAUAAGUUUAUUCAUGGAAAAUCUGGGUCGUAUCGGAAUAGNNNNNNNNNNNNNNNNNNNNNNNNNNNNNNNNNNNNNNNNNNNNNNNNNNNNNNNNNNNNNNNNNNNNNNNNNNNNNNNNNNNNNNNNNNNNNNNNNNNNNNNNNNNNNNNNNNNNNNNNNNNNNNNNNNNNNNNNNNNNNNNNNNNNNNNNNNNNNNNNNNNNNNNNNNNNNNNNNNNNNNNNNNNNNNGCAAACAUAGGGAAGAAUGGCAUCACGUCACUCAAAAGGCUCUGCAGCCCCAUGACGGGCGAGAGCCUUUUUCUGCCUCAUCAAACCGUGAGGUUGGAAAAUAUAAUCCUUUAAAAACUUUACCCCACAAGGAGGAUGGCUAAAGAAGUAGUCGCCACGCUUGCUUACCCAGCAUGGCUAAAUUAAAAUUGAGGAGAUCCCGAAACUCUAAACCACCAGCUACCUUUCUCUGUUUUAGUACCUCCCAAUUUCGCCAAUGUAUGCAUGUUCGUUGUCUAUCAUUCUGCCACCAAAAUUUCGCAAUUCUUUGUUCAAUAGAGGUACAUAGAGAAAUGGGUAAUCGAAAUAUGGACAUGGCAUACUGUGGUAUGGAUUGUACUACAGCCUUCAACAUAAUCUCUUUCCCCGCCUUUGAGAAAAGGUUUUCCUUCCAACCUUCCAAUCUGGUAUUCACUCGAGCUAGUAUCCAAGAGAACAUAUCCCUUUUCGACCUACCCCAAUCAGAUGGUAUACCAAGAUAUUUCCCACAACUUUGCAAUAUAGGAACUCUAAUAGCAUUAGCCAUAUUUUCCUGUAGAGAAGUAGGGCAAGAUUUACUAAAAAAUAUACCAGAUUUGUUGCGGUUCACCUCUUGGCCCGUGGCAAAGCAAUACUAAUUCAGCACAUUUGAUAAAUUUUGACAUUCCCGAACUGAUCCUUCUACAAAGAAAAUUGCAUCGUCUGCGAAAAGAAGGUGUGAAAGAGUUGGGCACCAUCUGUUGAGUUUAAUACCUUUGAGUGUCUCCAUAUCGAGUGCAUUAUGAAUAAGAGAUGAUAAUAGAUUGGAUAAAAGGAUAAAAAGGUAUGGGGAGAGAGGAUCUCCUUGGCGAAGGCCCCUGGUAGGAUGAAAGGGCCUAAGCUGAUCGCCAUUCAUGUUGAUACAUAAAGAUGUAGUGGUGAUACAUUGCAUGACCAGAGUACUCCAUAAUGGAUGAAAGCCUAACUUAAGUAGAUAAGCAUGUAAAAAGUCCCAUUCCACUCUAUCGUAGGCCUUCCGCAUAUCCAACUUGACAACAGCAUGAAAUUUGCGCAUCCUCCUUUUAGAUCUAAGUUGAUGUAAAACCUCCUGUACUAGCAAGAUAUUAUCUUGUAUCUGGCGCCCACCCACAAAAGCAGAUUGUUCCUCAGAAAUUAGAGAUGGUAGCAGAGGUUUCAGUCUAUUUGCAAGCACUUUAGAGAUAACCUUAUAGGCAUAAUUGCAUAAACUAAUAGGGCGAAAUUGAUCAAGACUCUCAGGUUGAGGGAGUUUUGGGAUCAGAGUAAUAACUGUUUUAUUUAAGGCUAAAGGGAAACAGCCUGAGAGAAAGAAAUGCUGAACCUCUUUGAAGAAAUCAUCCUUUAUAAUAUCCCAAUGAGUCCUAUAAAAAAGACCAGUCAGCCCAUCAGGACCAGGAGCUUUGGUUGAAACGUAGCUAGUCUCAAUUCUUCCAAGGUCAACAAUGACAUUAGAGCAUUAUUCAUGGCUGGCGUCACCACUGUAGGACACUGAUCUAAAAUAGGUUCAAAGUUGCGAGCUCCGACUGUGGUAUAUAAUGAUGAGAAGAAAGAAGUUGUCAUCUCCUAAAGCCGACUAGGAUCCCUGACCCAAUCCCCCGUUUCAUCCCUGAGCAUCGUAAUCUUAUUCCUUUGUCGCCUCUGGACUACUUUAUUAAGGCCAAAAUGUCUUGAUUGUGAUGGACAUUUCAUAAGCAAAAGUUCUCUUUUAUGAGAUCGGCCCUACAUUCAACAUGGACUGUUGGAUAAAAAGGGAAAAAACACGAUCCAUCAAUCUAUUUGGCAAAAUCGAUUUUCUGUCAUCACUUCCGAAUAUUAAAGGAAAGUUGCAGGCGCAAACUUGAUCAAAUUAUAAUUUGAUUGAAAAUAGUGACGAUGAGUAAGGAAAAUUACUAAAGCAUAGGUCUCAAAACUUUGCCAAGUGCAAAGUAGAGGAGAGUUACGAUCAAUCUACAUAUUUUAGUAAAAAUACACAAAAAGAAAUUUACUUUUAACCGAAUAAAUAUUAUCUUUGUGGAAUUUCACCAAACAUAGGUUUCAAAGAAUUUAUGACCUCCAAAGAAAAAGUACACCCUCCAAACUCAAAAGAAAACAUAUGAAAGGAUUUUUUACAGGAAAAAUUACUAUUAGUGAGGACAAUUACGUCAUCAAAGGAAAGUUGUGAUUUAUCCAGUAAUUUACUAACCAUAGAAAAAACAAUUUACCCAAAACUUGGCAGAUUAUUAUAUUUUGAGGAAUAUUACAAAUCAUUUGACCUCCAUAACUUAUGAUGGCAACCUCAAAAGUAACAGAUUUCUCAAGAAACGAUGCCCUAAAACACAAGACGCUUCCAAUUACUCUAGGAAGUAAUUUCCAUUGGAGCUUAUUUAAGUGUUUGCUCGUUACUCAAUACAAUGAACAAUGUGCGACUAAGUGUUCCCAAACGACGGAACCUAAAUCUUUUCAUCAUACAAGGAGCAAUGCAUUAUGUUCUAUUAGAACUUCGCAAGGUUCUGAGCUUCAGAAGGUCUAGUGUAAUAUUGACAAUUUAAUUAGGCUAGAAACACAGAAAAUGCAGAAUAGUUUGGAAAGUUAACUUGCUUAUAUUUAUCAGGAAAAAGGACAACAGUUUUGCAAUGUCAACAUCACAAAUAAUUAUUCCUUUGAGGUAACUCUAGCAUGAUCUUUCUUCAUACAAAAGGCAUGUCAAAGAUUACGCACACCUCACACAAUGUGCCCCAUCAACAACAAAACCAGUUAGUUGUGCCGGCAAUGCAUGAUAGUCGAAUAUAAGAAAUAUACGCCGAACCGUCUAGAAAAAGUUAUGGUGCAUCAGACACAAUACCUUUCUAUGUAAGCAUUUCAAUAUCUCUAGAAAUGAUGGGUUUCCCACAUUCCUUUUGGGAGUUACAUACAAUAGCUUGCACGAUGGUUUAUCUUUUCUGAAAAGGUAAGCAAAGAAAAAGUGGAGAUUAAUAAUUUGACAAUCACAACACUAAGCAUAAAAAAUCUAGAAGUCCAAUAGAGCUAAACCUUGCCUUAGUUCUUGGAGAAUAGCUGCCGCUUGGGCAGUAGUUUGCUGAGAGUUCAAGAAAGUAGAUGGUAUUCCAUACUUGAGGAUUAGAGUAAUUAUUGGAUCUAGAAUGAGAGAUAGCAAGGGAGAUAUAAUGAUUGUGACACCUAUUUAAAGAGUUGCUGGUAGAUGAAACCAAGGAUAAAAACAUCAAAAGAGCGCAUGAAGAAAGGAAGGGACAAGGGAACUAUUAUUUCUUUCACCUUCAGCUGAUUAGGAAUGACCAGUUGUCACUACUUGUCUUACAAUUAAUUACUUUCAGCUAGAAACAUGUCACGCCCCGAUCCUCGAGACGCGCCCAUCCUUCUAAUGGUCGAUUUUAAAGUGCGAUAUCCCAGGACUAAGUAUCACCAACCCUUUCGUUUAUUAAGCACAUGCGGAAGCAGUUAUAAAUCCCCAGACAAUAAAAUAAUGGGAUAGAAAAGCAAGCCAUAUUUUUAAUAUUGAAAUUCACAACCACACUUUUAUUAACAACACAACUCAUAGCAUAUUUACAAUACUAUUCCCAACAUACUUGUCUCACACCGAUCUACACUAAGACAGGGUUUACAAAAGGGAUGGGAUAUCAAUCCACAUCCGGGUUAUACUCAAGAUCCCUCUCUAGAUCAUCUUCUUCUUCAAAAGUCUUUCUCCCCUUUAGGUUCCUCCUCCUCAGCUUCUCCUCAGGGUCCUGAAAUGGUUAUUCAAUAACCACUGAAACCACGUCUUAGCGAGUUCUACCCCCUAAGACUCGAUUAGUAAACCAAUACACUACUCGGUUGCCUAAGCACAACACGAGUCAGAUGACUUACCUUGGCCUCAGAUUCCAUCUGCACAUUAGUACAGUUCAAUAGGUACUCAAACAAUCACAUCACCAAUCGAAGUAUCGAUCAAAUCAACUUAGUCGAUUUCAUGCCAGUCGGACCAUUUCUAGGUCAUUCAUCCCACACCAAGCAAUUCCUUAGAUUUAGUGGCUUUACGGUCCCAUCCGACCCUUUCCAAAUCUAGUGGCUUUAUGGUCCCACCCGACCCUUUCAAGAUCUAGUGGCUUUACGGUCCCAUCCGACCCUUUCCAAAUCUAGUGGCUUUAUGGUCCCACCCGACCCUUUCAAGAUCUAGUGGCUUUACGGUCCCACCCGACCCUUUCAAGAUCUAAUCUAGGAAUGAAUCUUAAAAUCACUCAUAAAUUACUUUAGCACUGAAUAAAGCUCAAAUAAAUAAAUGGACUACACCACGACGAUCAGCACAAAAUUCCAGUCAUCGGCCAUCCCGGUUGAAUUUUCGGAAAAAUAAAUAAUUAAAUAAUUUAUUUCGAAAAUUAAAUAAAUAAUUAUUUAAAAAAAUCCAAUUUAGGCCCAUAAUGUCUGAUUGGAAGCCGAGACGAGCCUGGAAAAUUACCGAGACUUGUUCAAUAAUUAACAUUGCAUGCCUACUUGCUAAUGUCUAUUUCUAACCACCUAACAUGUAUCAUUAAGUCUCUAAUUUAAUUUAUCUAAAUUAAUAUAACCACCUAAUUGCAUUUAAUUAAAUCUAACCAACCUUAAGUAUAAUUAGGAAACUAAGAAAGCAUUAGUGAGUAAAAAUUACUUGGUAAAAGCAGAGAUCGGGACACCGCGAUGAUGACGCUACGACGGCCGAAAUCGAGCUUUCGACAACACCGGCGGGCUUGGCCCAACAAAUCUCACCCAACUGAGAUUUGUUCUUGCUUUUGGGCCAGACCCAAGUUGGAUUGGGCUUGCUACGAAGAUGGGCUUCAAGCUAUGGGUUGGGCUUGAAGACUACGGGAGAUGGGCCUCAAUAAAAUUCUGCUGAUGGGCUGCUGCUGGUGAAAUUCGACUGGGCUGGCUUGCGACCCAAAUGGGCUGAACAAACUGCAACUGGAAGCUGGCUGAUCUGUGGGCUGCUUGAUCGAGCGUGGACUGACGCUAGCAGGAGGAAGGAGCAAUGUCGGCGGUUGCUUCGGCUUCGCUGGGAUCUUCAAAUUGCUGAAGUCCACGGACGUGAGGCUUCUCGGUUGGGAUUGGGAUUUGGUGGAGUGGGUUGUUGACCGAAGGGGACGUGUGGAUGAGCAAAGAUGGAGCAGGGAAGCAGCUGGCGUGGAUGCAUGGGACAGAGAGAGAUGAGGCAGCGUUCAUGGCCACCAAACUCGGUGGAGUCGUGGGCUUCAAGCGGUCAACCAAGAGCUUCAAUUGAAGCUGUUGUUGACCGAACCAGGCGUACACACGGCCAAGUGGUAGCAAGCUCGGCAGAAUCAGUUUCGGUGAAAACAGAGACAAACGAAAGUGGGCUUUGCUGGCAGGGAGAAUUCGGUGGAUUGUGGCUUCGCAUGGAGUAGCUUCGGUAAGUCUUCAACGCUUCUGGAGAAGACACGAAGCAGUGGAGCUGCAUGCGGUCAACAAUCUUUGCUGAGAUUGACCAAAACCUCAGUGGAUUGGUCUUCGGUGCAGCUGGCGGACGAAGGAAAAUUUUUGAAGGAAGCAGCUUGGUCUUCUGCAGUUGCUGUUGGCGAUGUCGCACGAAGUGGGGAGGGAGAGAGAUAGCUGUCCGGUUGAGGGUGAGAGGAAAAGGAAUGGAUAUAGAUGAGUGAUGGGGCCCUUUAGACUUGAUCUUUCCACACAAAUAUCAUUUGUUUUUAUCCCUCCAUAUGGCUGGCACCCACCAACAAAUUUUCAGCCCAAUUUACCCCUUCUAGAGAGUUGAGUUGGUCCAAAAGUCACCACUUGUGGGGCAUGCAAAUUUCUUAGCGCAAGGCUCCAAUUGCUUAUCAAAUCUCCCUCAAUCGGCUUUCAUAAAAUCAAUCAACGCUUCAAUGCCUCAAUUGCUAUUUUUCCUCAUCCAAUAACCCAUCUUGCAUCUCGAUUUUGCGAUCGAAACCAUCUUCAGCAUUGUCGGCACAAAAAUGACCCAACGACAACUUUUUCCCAGAAAGUGUCGGGUGUCAGAAAAAUCUUCUGAGACUGAGUCGAUACUCCUAGAAUUUAUUAUGACAUGGCCAAAACUUCAAUUUCUGAAAUCGGACUCGAAUUGGCAGUUAAUUUUCAUUCGACGCGUUUUUAGCGUGACCUAGACUGUCGGGUAGUUUUUCAUAACUUUUUAAGGCAAAUAACACAUGGUUGAUUUUCUUCGAACCACUAUGAACCCAUUCGACUUAAUGGCGACUCUCGAUUGUCGUGAAAAUCUCGAGGUUUCAAAUACGGACAUAGGGUACCAAAAUGACAGUUAAAUCAGAUUUGUGUCGAUCGACGAGAAUUUUCCAAUUUAGUGGAGUCACCCACGAUCGGCCACAUAUCUCAGUCGACCAAACCUAUCUAUGGUCUUAAAUCGAUUUUUAACUGUGCUGCAAUGGCCUCUAAAGAUGAGCACGGUCGAGAAGCUGAUUCCUGAUCGAAUUCUCAAGUUUAUUACCCUAAAAUUUCUUAAUUACUUACCUAGACAAUCUAGUUAUCUCAAGAGUGAUCGGCUCUGAAAAUAGCCCAAUAAACACGUCAACGAAAUGCCCGAUUAUUUUAGUAGAAAACAGGUUGAGAAAUUCAAGAUGUCACGAAACAUAUAUCAACUACUUUAAGACUGAACAUAAAACACUUCUAAAAAAUCCAGUAUAAUAUCUUCCUCCUUCAUUCAUUACAUCAAAUAUUUUUCUUGCUACCAUUAUAUAUUGUAUAUUGAAGGAAAUUAAUUCCAAACCAAUUAUGGGAAAAAAAGAAGUCAUAGAUCAUUACCCUAUGUGAGAUAAUGGCAUAGCCAACAACUACAAGGAAAUAUAGAAGUCUAGAACCCAUAUUUGGUGGAAGUACUUUGAAAAAUUAUUCCUCUUCGACUCAGUAACCCAUUUGAAUUGGACCUGAAUUAUGACUAACAAUAGCACUUACAUGCAUAAACAAUUUUCCGGUAAGUGAUUAGAAGGUCCUAGAAGCAUAGUACAAACUUUAAAUUCUAGAAAUUAUAACAGAUAGAGAUGUGCGAAGGCGGAAUGAGAAUGUACCGUAUUUCCUUCUUGUCUAAUUUUGUCCAAUGCCAUAAAUUGGAAUCCAUGGUUAUGUACUAGAAUCACUUCCUAUUGCUUAAUUUUCAUUUGAAAAACAUUUACUACCUUUUAUGUUCACAACCUUCUCAACGGUGCUUAAAAAAACAUAUUAGAAGAUCGUCAAAGCUUAAAUUUUGACAUACAGGUCAACCCUUUUACAUUUAGUUGGUGGAACCAUUGAGCAAAGUGCACAGGGCUUGUGAUCUUAACAUUGUCUCCACUCUCUCCUACAUACAAUCAUUACAUAGUUGAGACAACGUUAACAUCCACUAACCUGGUAACAUAAGCUUUUACCACCUCCAGUGGGCAUGAGAACAAAGCAAUCUUGCUUAGCUACAGAAUCUUUACAAGCCCGAUGCUGCAUUGGUCGAAAUGCCUCGUUUCCGAAUAUGACAACAUUUGCCAAUUCUACGUCAUCAAAGGCUCGCAAUUCCUCAUAACUCAAAGUCCCUUGUUGGAUGUUGAAAUCUGAAAGCAAUGUGUUUUAUUUGAAAUUGACUAUUGAACCAUGAGUGACAGUGAUUUUAUAGUCCUUCAACAAAGAUAAGCCUCUUCAGCACCGUAAUAGUUUUUGACAUGGAUUGUCAUAGAAAAUGAAAAAUGUGCACAAAGAAAUCACAAGCCUUUAUUUAUGCAAAACAUUCCAAUCAAUGACGCUGGAUUGUUAAGUUCCACACUUUGAUGAUCUACUAUACUCUCAAGGUAUUUGAGAAGUAUAGGUAUUUUGUAAAUCAUCCAAAACUAAAAUUAACUUCUUUAUUGACCAAAUAGUUCUCAUAUGUCAUUUUGGAUCUUGAAGAUUGUGCAAUAAUUGGCAAAAUUUAGGAGUGUAUUGGAUAUUUAAUUGGACGAGAGGCCUCAUUCAUAAGAAUUUUUUUUUUGGUCGAAUCCUCAUAAGAAAUUUACUGAAUGCUUUUGUACAUGUACAUUGUGUAGGUCCUUUGCUGUGUGCAGAAUCAAAGCAAAUUGGAAACAAUCAAGCAGGGAACAAGUUAUAAGAGAAAAGGACAGUGACACAAUGAUUUAAGUGGUUUAGCAGUAUUGUCUAUGUGCAUGGGAGAAGCAUACCAUGGAUUCUAAAGCCCCUCUGGCCAAAAUUUGAGUGGAUGAAUUGGUUAGAUUACUACUUUAGUCAGGACUAUAGCAUGUGGAUUUCCUACCCGUUUUACUACCCAACACAUCUUCUUCGCUUUACUGUCAGUAGAGGAAUCCACCCCAUGGAAAUUUGAUUUUUCACAGUUUGUGGAGAAUCUUCUAUAAUAUUGACAUUGUGCAUAACAUUGCAUUCACCAUCGGAUAUCUUGGCCAAACGUAUCAGUCAAAACGCCACAAGCUUCUGAUUCUGCAGCUUGCACAUCAUCCCAAUCCUCAAUGUCUAGCAUAGUUUGGGCAAGUUUUGCUAGAAAAUGAUCACCACAGUGCUUCAUAGUGAUAAACUCUCGACCUCCGUCAACUUAAGGAAACCAGAAGAAGAAAGAGGUGAUUUUGCAAGUUCCAUGGCAAACAAGAGAUCAAAUAAACAAAAUCUACAAUACGUAAUUUGCAAUUAGUUCAGUGAGAUGCCAUAUUCGUAGUGAGUUCAGAAAUAAGUUAGAGAUUUCGCUAGUCAAUAAGACUACUCUGCAAAACCCACAGAUAAAUGAGGAUGGGAUUAACGCUCAAUGAACUAGAUUUAACCAUCUCCUCCAGUCCAUUCAAAUCUAAAGGGUAGACCAUUCCAUAGCCAUCGUCGAAAUGACGACUAACCGCAAUAAAUCUCCUUAUCCAGGAAUGCACAAUCAAUCGAUUCACGAAUUAUCCACACAACACAAGCAAUUACAUCAUUCCCUAAUCACCAUAUACCAACGAUUUAGCUAAUAACCAAGAAAAACCACCAUUCGGAGCAACCUCAACACAUCAAACUGGAACCACGCCACACAUUUCACUCAUCAACAAGAUUACUUCACCAAACCUGCUUCGAUCUAUUCAAACCUAGAGCAGACUAUUCCACGACAAUCCUCAUCAUAUUGGACAAUGAAAUACCUAUAUGGGUGACAAAGUAACGAUUGGAGUUACCAUAGAGUAGAUGUGUCAAAAUGGGUCAUUGACCCAUUUAUGGACCCAUUUAUGGUUAAAUGGGUCGUUAAUGGGUCAAGCUUUAGUUCCUAAAGCACCCAUAAUGGGUUUUAAUGGGUCAAGACUGAGAUAUAUUGAUCUUAAAUGGGUCAAAGAGCUACCCAUUUAAGACCCAUUAAAAAUAAACUCAUUUAUUUUCACUCAAAACCUCACCAUCUCUCUCUUCUCUCUUUAACUUUACAACUUUUUUUAUAUAAAAACCGAAAUUAUAAUUAUUUUUUCUUUUAAUUUUCUUUCCUUUUUUUUCUUUUUUCUUUGUUUUUUCUUUCUUCUUCCUCCGAUCGUCAACACGGCGAUGGCCGGUGAUCGGCCAAGCGAGCCUCGAGCUCGCCGACGUCGGGCGAGCUCUAGCUCGCCGGAUCUAGCAAGGCGGAGGCCUCACCGAUGCCUAGUGAGGCUCGAGCCUCGCCGAUUUGGCGAGACUUGAACUCGUUGGUGUCGGGCAAGGCUCGAGCCUCGUCGGCAUCAGGCGAGGCUCAAGCCUCGAGCUCGCCUAACGCCAGCGAGGCGGAGGCCUCGCCAAUGUUCGACGAGGCUUGAGCCUCGCUAGAUUCGGCUAGGGGCGAGCCUUGAGCUCGCUCGGUGCUGGCGAGGCUCGAGCCCCCGCCAGAUCUGGUGAGGGGCGAGCUCGAGCUCGCCCGACACUGGCGAGCCUCGAGCUCGCCGGAUCUAGCGAGGCUCAAGCCUCCCCGAUCUGGUGAGCCGCGAGCUUGAGGCUCGCCUAUGGCCAGUCGUCGGCCGUCGUCGUGGCCAACGGCCGGCCAAAGAAGAAGAACAACAAAAAAGAAAAAAGAAAAUUAAAUUUAAAUUUAAAAAUUUAAAAAUUUAAAAAUUAAUGUUUUAAAAUAAAAAUAAUUAAAAUUUGAUGUUUUAAAAUAAUUAUUUUAAAAAUUAUAAAAAUUGUCCAUUAAAUUUGUGCUGUAUAAAACUAUUUUAGCGAUACCAUUUUAUAUAUACAUAUAUAUAAGAAAUAAUUUUUUUUGAAAAAUUAUAAAAAAUUGAAAAAUUAUUGAUUGGAUUUGUAUUACUUGGAAGUUUUUUAGUAAUAUAAUCUUAAAAAAAAACAUAAGAAUAAGUUUUCCUAAAUUUUGUUAAAUAUGAAGAUAUUUUAUUAAUAUGGGUCGAGUCGGGUAUAGGUCGAAAAAUUUAUAUUAGACAUAAAUGGGUCAUAAAUGAGUUAAUGGGUCAAUUUAAGUCAACCCAUUAAUGACCUGAUCCAAACCCGACCCGACCUACCCGUUUGACACCUCUACCGUAGAGAGCGAAAUGAGACGGUCCAAGCACUUGCUGGUGGACUGCUCGUCGAAGCAGAACUCGAGAGCCAAGCUCAGCAACCAAGCUUUCUCCACCUCCUCCAAGCCUCGAUCCUCCAUCGAGUCUCAACCAGUUCGACGCCAUUCGAUUAAUCGAUCGAUCGAUGAUGCACCAGCCGAAAUCAAAUCGAAUUGAUUGCUAGUCUGUCUGGAGAGCGCACGCUCGAAGUACUCUUUCGAAAAGCAUUGCCAACGAUGGUGAGGAUUGAUGUUGUUUUCCGCUUUCUAUUUUUAUGCGCUGGAGAAGGGGAGAGAUUGGAACCAUAUUUUUUCAAUUUUUUUUUUAAAUUCUGUUUCGCACCUGAAAUUUGUUUAAACUCUAUUUUUGCCCCCACCAUAAGUUUUCCUGGUUUCAUUUGACACCCUUGGGUCUAUAAAUUUUUUUUUUUUUUUCUGGAUAAAAGAAGUCGUGCACUUUUCUCUAAGCGUGUAGUGUCGAUCUUUCCGAGUCAAUGCAUAAGUCCAAUUCAUUUUGGGGCGUCCUUCCAAUAGCGCUUGUCGCACCAAUUCUUCUAAGGAUGUGCGCUUAUAAUCUUCUCAAGACGAGGAAAAAGAGCGGAAGCAAUACCACAUGCAAAAAAAUAAGCGUCAACGGGUCAUCGACAUCUAUGUUUGUCUCUCCAACACUAACAAAAGGGGGGAAGUGAUCCCUUUAACGUAUUCUUGAGCUUUCGAGACGACAAAAAUAUCAUAGAUGAAGGAACUGUGCCAAUAUUUGCACUUACGGAUGAUGAUAGCCUCCCUACUAGUGAAGGGUUGGGUUUAUGGCAUCUCGAUGCAAUCACAUGGACUAAUGUUUUCCACGAAAUAAACGGAACCUAAAGUUCCAUCCAUGUUACCUAGCCAAAAGAUGUUUCGGCCAAAUAAGAUAUAUUAGUCGUCCUUGGCCUAGAUCGAUAUAAAAUGAAAAUGCAACAAAACUUCAACAUGGUCGGCCAACAAAAAAAAGUAAAUUCUAUUGAUGAUCCUUUUGAUUCCAUCAUAACUCUUUCCGUAAUUAUCAUUGAAAGGUUAAUGGUUGUCGAUCAAUAAAACAUUUCCAACAUCAUAACUCUUCCUGUAAUUAUCGUUGAAAGGUUAAUGGUUGUCGAUUAAUAAAACAUUUCCAACAUGCAAAUCUUUUAAUAAUGUAUGGUAAAUCGCAUUGUAAUGAAUUUUAACUGUUUCUACAAAAAUUUUGUAAAUUCUUCUACGUUUCGGAGAUAAUGGAGGAAUCUAGAUAUUUUUGUUUUGGUCGAAGUAAACAUCUUUCAUUAUUUCAAGUAGCUCCAUGAUUACAAACUAAGUGGGCCUCUAAACAAAUCAGGCCUGACAAUAUUUUUGGGGAUAAGAAACCUAGUUGGUGGGAAGGGAUUUUCGCCAAUGGGCUUAGAGAUCCAAUCAGCUACCUGGCUCGCUUCUCUCCUACAGUAGGCUAAUCACAUGCUCUUGUAUUGGGCCAGCAGGUUUUUGCCUUUAGAGAUAAGAGACUGGAUGCUCCACGUUGGUUGUUCUUGAUCUGAAAGUGCAAUUAUCGUUGACCAACUCUUCAACUCUAGAGAGUACUUGAGUUCAAACGUAAGACAAAAGAAGCGUAGGGCUUCCAUGCACGCUAGGGCUUCCACUUGCUCCGCCGAGUUCGCCCAUACUUCCUUCGUAAAUCCAGCCACGAUGUCCCUAGACUCAUCUCUAUAAACGACGCCGAUGAUUCCUAUUCUCUCUUCCUUCGCACACGAGCCAUCCACAUUGCUCUUUAGAGUGCCUUUCUCGGGUGGAAUCCAUUUUGCAGCCAAAGGCUAAAGUACGCGCAUCCUUAUGAUACAAUUAAUUGCAAAUAAUAGGAAAAAAAGCUAGGACUUUCAUAAAUGGCUAUCUAUAUAAAGCAAUUGGUAGAUGCAGAACACAAAUACAAAAAAGAUCAAUUAAAACACUCAAUUCCAGUGGAAUACAUGAAUCAUUAAGUGCCUAGUUUUGAGGCACCUACAAGGCAUCUGGACAAAACAGUGAUUGACUUCCGAGGAACAAUGCCUAACAUGGACCUGAGAGCACCCACAGCAUUGGAUUGUAUGAAUCAUGGUGAAUGACAUGAUUGUUCGAGUGCAAUCAUUAUUAGAGCACCACUAAGUGUAGUUUUUUUUCAAAUUUAUUUGAAGAUAUACUUGUGUUCGGUUUGGUUUAACUGAAUGAAUGUUUUUCCUUAUUAAUUUCCCUCAAAUAAUUUCUCAUUAUUUUCAUUAUUUGAGAAAAAAAUUACAAUUAUUUUGAAUUUAAUUCUGCUUAAUUAAUUUUUAAAAAUGUCUAGGCCCAUGCCCACCAUGCUUAGGUUGUGUCAGCCCAAGCUUGUCGUGGUGCUCCGUCCUAGUCACACUUCGCCAAGUGAGAAGCCUCGAAAACUACAUUGGUUGUAGUUAAGCUUGGAAAUCACAUCGGUUGUGAUUAAGCCCAAAAUAAAACCAGCCUACGAUCAUCGUACACAUCUCAAGACGCAUAUCAACCGUAAGCACUAAUCCAAUUUCCAUAGUUCAUAGUCCAACAUGCCGAGAUAUGCUAGAAAUAUUUCACCCAUGUAUAUAUUUUCUAUGCAUGUCCAAAAUAACAAUCUUAAUUGAGUCCAUUCAAUGCUUGAUCCAAUUUUAUUAAAUAAGAUGCCAUGAAAUGGUUUAAUUUUUCCCUUGAUUCUCAAAGUGCAUGGGUUGAGGAAAUAUGUGGUUGACUAUGAAAAAUGCUAUGUUAUGCACUUCAUAACUAGUUUGAAAUGUACUCACACGUUCAAUGAAAUUUAUAACAUACAAGAAGUUGGACAAGAAUCAUUUAACAAAUUUAGGGAAACAUUGAAUUGGCUCAUCGAAUAUCCAAACAUUUAAUUAUUGUCUCGUUUGCCCUUUUGUCAUAAGUGCGAGAAGUUUCCAUGAUCUUUCUGAGUGUUGGCUGCAUUCAUAAAGAUACACAUGAAACGCCAGGAAACAUUGAAUUGGCUUAGCGAGAUUACAACUAAUAACAAUAAUAAUGUAAUGAUUGUAUUGCGUGAGUGCAUCCGUAAACAAAAGUAGUCUUCCUACCUAAUUCUCUUUUUUAAAUUGAAAUAAUAUUAUAGUUGUUGUGCUUUUACCAUGCAUUAAUUAGUUUAAUAAUAGUCUAUUUCGCUAUCAUUACCCACAGCAAAUUUUUAAGGGCAAUUAUUGAUUUUUAAUCUUAGGAAGAAUGCCACUAUCUAAGAUUCCAUCCAUGUUACCUAAUUGGAAGAUGUAACAAAGACCAAGACUUGUUCUGGCCAAAAAUAAAAAAUAAAAAACAAAGACCAAGAGUCACCCAUAAUGAAAGACCAAGACAAAUAAUUAGUCACUAGUGGGGCAAACUCUAAUUAAUUGUAAUAAUAGUAUAUUUCUCUAUCAUUACCGACAACCAAUUUUUAAAGGCAAUCAUUGAUUCUUGAUCUUAGGAAGAACGUCACCAUGUAAGAUUCCAUCCAUGUUACCUAGCUGGAAGAUGUAACAAAGACCAAGACUCAUUCAAACCUAAAAUAAAAAUAAAAAACAAAGACCAUGACUCGCCCAUAAUAAAAGACCAAGACAAAUAAUUAGUCACUAGUGGGGCAGAUCAAAUUAAUUCACUAUUAGUAUAUUUCUCUAUCAUUACCGACAACCAAUUUUUAGAGGCAAUUAUUGAUUCUUAAUCUUAGGAAGAAUGUCACUAUCUAAUAUUCCAUCCAUCUUACACGGCUGGAAGAUGUAACAAAGACCAAGACUCUUUCUAGCCAAAAAUAAAAAUAAAAACAAGGACCAAGACUCACACAUAAUAAAAGACCAUGACAAAUAAUUAGUCAAAAGGGGGUAGACUCAUUAAUUUAUCUUUUUUGGCCGAGACAGACUUAUUAAUUAUCCUCGACCUAGAUUGAUAUAAGAUAAAAGGGCGACAAAAUUUAAUUAUGAUCGGCAAGCGAAAAACAUAAGUCCCAUUUAUGGUCCUUUAGAAUUCAUUAAAAGAAUAGUCUAUCUAACUUAAAUAACUCUUCCCUCGAUUAUCUUCAAAUCUUGUUCUAUUUUUUGACGUAUCUUCUAAUAAUGGACCAAAACUUCUUGAACAAAUUUUUUAAACCACGUGCCUUCUAUUCAAAUCUCCUUAUUUAUUUAUUUAUUUAUUUAUUUAUUGUUUUUUAGUGAUUGAGGAUGAAGAUUAUUUCUUUGUUUCCACAUUCACCAACCAAAUCCAAUUAACAAGCAAUAUUGCAAAAGACAAACACCAUGUUUUCUUAUUUCAAUGGAAAAAUUAUCAAAAAAUUCUUAAACCUAUUGUACAUGUGCUAAUUCAAUCUUAAACCUUUUAAUUUUGACAAUUGAUUCAUAAACCUUUUAACGAUUUGCCAAUGUAGUCAUUCCUGUCAAUUUUGUCCGAUAACUAAUGACAUACACCAACUAUCCUAUGUGGCACAGUGGGCAUUGAUGUGGACAAUUUUCGCUUUUUUUUUUUCUAUAUUUCAAUCAUAUGUAAAAAGAAUGACUAUGAUUCAAUGUGAAGACUAUGAGUAAAUUGGAUAAAUUUCAAGUGUAGAGAUUGCAAUGGGAAUUUAGUCAGGUAGAUCUACAAGAUGAAUCUCAAGUUUCUUGGUAGAAGUGUUAGAAAAGUCAUAGACCUAUUAUGUUGAUGUCAAUUUAAUCAUAAAUCUUUUAAUUGUGCUAAUUUAAUUUAGUAUUAAACAUUUGGACCUAGUGCUAAUUUAGUCAUUCUAACUAUUUUUUGGAUGGAUAUCCUACACGAUACGGCCGGUGCUGACGUGGAUAAUUUUGAAUGAUAUUUUAAUAAUUUUCGAAUUCCUUCUUUCUUUACUUUCUUUACUUUCUCUCUUAUAUUUUCCUCCUCUUUUUGGUGGUUGGCAAGCAUCAAUGAGGCUGCCCUCACCCAGGCAACACUUGGCCUCACUAGAUCUUGCAAGGGCAGCCUCACCAGCACUUGCCCUCACCCUAGCAAGGCUGACAAGGUUCACCCUCGCUCAUGUGAGACCCAGCCAUUGGAAAGAGGAGGAGAAAAAGAGAUAAAAAAAGAAGGAAAAAAAUUCAAAAUUAUCAAAAAUAAUCCACGUCGCCUAUAAUGCAAUGUAGGCUUGCUGACGUUUAGCAAUAUUCGGCUAAAAGUAGCUUGAAUGACUAAACUAACACUAGGCCAUAAGGUUUAGAAUUAAAUUGGCACCAUUAAAAAGUUUUGGAGUAAAUUGUACCAAUACAAUAGAUUGGCUUUUCUAAUACUUUUCCCUGAGUUUCUUCUAUAUGUUGCUUUGCAUUAGCAAAAGAAAAUAUUGGCAAAGUAACACUAUUUCUUAAUUUACAUUUUUACAUGUAUAUAUUAAUUUAAAUAUUGCAAUGAAAUUAUUUUAAAAAUUUAGAAAAAAUAUUGUUUCCAACAUUACUUUACUGUCUAUCAGUUUUUCAAAUAUUUGAAAGUAAUGGCUUUGAUAGGAGUUAUGGAAAGCAAUUCUUUUUGUAACGGUUUUUUACCGUCACCAAUUUGUAAUGGUUUUUGUGUAACAUUAAUCUAUAAUGUUCUUGUAACGGCUUUAUAAUGGUCAUCAUUUUAUUAAUUCUCAAUUAAUUUAUAAUGAUUUCUUAAUGGCCCUCUCUUUUGUUUGAAUAUAAGAUUAAAUUCCAAAUCACAAUCCUUUUUUUUUUUUUUUGGGUCAGUAAAUCACAAUCCUUUAAGAUACGCCGAAUUAACAGAAUUCACAUAUCUUUCCUUUUUUGUCAGGUUAUACACAUAACCUUGUUCAUGUUCCUGCUAUUAUUCAGUGCGGAAUAAAAAAAACUGUUUAUUAUAUCUUGAGAAGAUAGCUAUUAUGCCCUAUUGCAUCGAAUUUUUUACUCCAAAAGACAGAAUUAUCCUUAAGUAUAGUGUUUGCAAGUCUCAAACAUUUGGACAAAGGGCAAAGCCGGAGAAAGGGAAACAACGGGAUGCCCUAUUUCAUUUAACAUUAUUUCCUUGCGGGUGCUUGUUGCCGAUUGUUCUCUCUAUGCUUGUAUUCAAUCAAAAAGAAGAACAAAAGCGCCGCAUAAGAGAGCAUCGAGGGAGCAUCUGUCUCUUCUUCGGUGUCAUCUUGUUGGAGAAAUCUUUCCAGAAUAUUUUGAAGCUGACAAAACAUUUCUAUCAGUCUAAGUCUGGAUAUCGAUAGUUAAAGUCUCAAGACUUUAUAGUCUCAAGACUUUGUUAUCUCAAGACUCAAGACUCAAGACUCAAGACUCAAAAUUAUUCUCACUGACAGUCUUUCUAAUCCAGUGUUGAAGGAAAUUCAAAGCCAAGGUUUAUGGUUGAGGAUUUGAUCCUAUCCUCUGGAAUAGAUUCUUUGGUUGGAUAAUCAUUUCGGAUUCUUUAAUUCUUAUCUAAGAUCGAUUGAAGAUCCGAUGGUCGACGAAAUAAUCUUGGAUUAUUCUAUUCUUGGAAACCGAGAUCCUGAUUGUAUGGGCGAACAGGAUUGAUGGGCUAUCAUCAGAUUCCUUAAAUAGCUCGGAUGAUCUUCUUGAUUGAUUCCGUCCAAUGGGUAGAUUGGAGGAAUUCCUUUGGUAAGUACCAACGGCUAUGAUGGCAUGAAAGAGUAUAAAAGGAAGACGUUCUAGUUGUUUCAAGUGUGUGAUCGAUAGAAAAAUUCCAGAGUCUGAAGAUCCUUGAUUGUUAGUUGAGACUGAGCGAAAUUGUAUACAGAGAGUGUUUAUACUUGGUGACGCCUUGAGUGAGUGUGGUAGAUCAUCUACACCUAGAAAUCAAGGAAGAUCAACACUGUAACAACUCUUUGAUCAUAGUGGAAUCCAGCCAAUCGGCUGUCAGUGCAGAAGAGUGGACGUAGGCUUGAAUCAAGCCGAACCACUAUAAACCGAGUGUUCAAUUCUCUCUUUCCCUUACUCAGUCUUGCGAUUGAAUUUUUAACUGUUGCAAAUUCUCUAAUUGUUUAAAUAUCGUGCAAGCUUCGAGAAAUUUUUUGUAUACCUAUUCACCCCCCCUCUAGGUACUCGUACUAGCUACUUCAAUUGGUAUCAGAGCUCGUGUUCUUACUUUGUUUGAAGUGUUUUACUUCAAAGUAAAAGAUCCAUGGCUAGUAUGCUAGCACCGGGGCUGAUGGAGGGGCAAAGCAAUACCAGACCUCCCUACUUCGAUGGAAAGGAUUACAACAUCUGGAAGAACAAGAUGAAAGCUUUCCUACGAUCAAAGGAUCCUCUGGAAUGGGACGUAGUGGAAAAAGGAAUCACUCCUGCUGCUGCAUCAAUCACUGAAAGAGGGAAAGAAACUGUUGAAACCAGCGGAAUGUCUCAAGAAGAAAUAAACAAGAGACAAGCACUCGAUGCUAAAGCAAUUUAUUCGUUAUAUUGUGCUUUGUCACCAACUGAAUAUAACUGAAUAUCUUCUUGUGUUACAGCAAAAGAAGUCUGGGACAGGUUACAUAUCACUUAUGAAGGGACAGAUCGAGUGAAGGAGACCAGAAUUAACAUUCUUCUUGGUCAAUAUGAAUCCUUCAAAAUGAAACCAGGAGAAUCUAUAACUGACAUGUUUAGUCGUUUUACAGUUAUUGUCAAUGGUCUUGAGAACCAAGGACAAAAAAUUUCUGAUCCCAUGAAGGUGAACAAGCUUCUACGUGGACUCUCCAAGGAUUGGAAUCAUAUAAAGACUUCAAUAAGAGAGACGCAAAGAAUCAUGCCAUUAUCUGUAGACGAACUGAUUGGAACUCUUCAGUCUUACGAAGUGGAACGAAUUAAUGAAGACGAAUAUCCAAGAGGUAAGAAAUCUAUUGCACUAAAAUCAAAUGAUGAUUCUGAUGGUGCAGAUUCUGAAGAUGAUAUGGAUGAUAAGGAGCUCGCCCUCAUGAUAAGAAGAUUCAGAAAACUGAAUAGAAAAGGCAGAAGGUUCAUCCCAAAGAAACAAAGUUUUCAGAGACAGCAGACCAAGUCUGUUGAUGAUGAGGAACCAAACAAAGAUGUAGUUUGCUUCGAAUGUAAAAAGAAGGGACACAUCAGACCCAACUGUCCUCUUCUGAAAAAGAAAAGAGGAAAAGCUGAGAAAUCUCGAAAAGCUCUUAAAGCCGAAACCUGGAGCGAUACAGAGUGUGAAGAGAGUGAUGAGGAAUAUGCCAACCUGUGUCUAAUGGCGCAAUCAGACUCAGACUCUGGAUCAGACUCAGACAGUGAAUUUGAGGUAAGUGAUUAUAAAAUCCCUGUCAAAGUCUCUAAAUAUAUUGAUGAGUUAUGUUUUAGUCUUAAGACUUCUCUUAAAAAGAUUUCCGAACUUAAAAAGGAAAACUCAGUUUUAAAACAAAAGGAAAACAUUUUAGAAGAAAAGGUAAAAAAUUUAGACUUGAAUGUUUCUACUCUUAAAGAGAGUGAAGACAAUCUUUCAAAAGAAAAUGCUUUCUUAAAAACUGAUUUAUCAAAUAUUUCAAAGAAAUUUUCAAUAGGGUCCGAAAAACUUGAAAAAGUCCUUUCAAUCCAAAGACCUUACUUCAAUAAGUCAGGUCUAGGUAUGACAGCUGAAACAAUCCCUUUGAUUGAUUUUCCGAAAGUAAAAGAAAGAAUUAAGAAAAGACCAUCGAGAGAGGCUUAUAAAAAUCAUUUCAAAAGAGUUUUUGUAAAGCCUAUAGGUCGAAAUGCUUUAAGGUGUUCUAAGUGUAACAGUCAGGAUCAUUUUGAAAAAGAGUGUCCUAUGGUUUGGAAGCCUGUUAAGAGAGUAUGGCCUAAUAAUGCUCAUCCUACUAACACCAAAGGACCCAAGAAAAUUUGGGUACCAAAGAAAGCUUGAGACUCUUUUUUGAAUGCAGGUCUCUGUCAAAAAGAAGGUAAAGUGGUAUCUUGACAGCGGAUGCUCAAGACACAUGACAGGAGACUCAAAAUGUUUCAUAAAGCUUAUUAAAGUAAAUGGUGGAAAAGUUUCAUUCGGAGGAAAUAGCAAAGGAAGUAUUGUGGGAUUCGGAACUGCGAAAAUUGGAAAUCUCACAAUAAGCAAUGUCUCUCUAGUGGAAGGACUCAACUACAAUCUACUCAGCAUUAGCCAAUUGUGUGAUACUGGUUACAAGAUCUUCUUUCAAGAAGGCAUAUGUUCUGGAAUUAGCAAAGAUUCGACUCAGUCUUUCAUGGGUCGAAGGCAUGGAAACAUCUACCUCCUUGAUGUAAAGCCAAAUGAAGAACAAUGCUUAAUCUCAAUUCAAGAUGAAGCAAUUCUAUGGCACAGAAAACUUGGCCAUAUCAACAAGAAGCAAUUAGCCAAAAUCUCUUCAAAGCAGCUUGUUCGAGGUCUACCUAAACUGCCAUAUCAAAAGUCUGACUUAUGCACUCCAUGCAUUCUGGGAAAACAGGUAAGAAAUUCAUUUAAGCAAAUAAAUCAUGUAUCUACUAAUCAUGUACUACAGUUGCUUCACAUGGAUCUCUUCGGACCAACAAGAACCCAGAGCAUUAGAGGUUAUUCCAAAUGGACGUCAAAAGUGCUUUCCUAAAUGGAUUUAUCCAUGAGGAAGUUUAUGUGGAACAACCGCCUGGAUUUGAAGACCCAAAGAAGCCAGACUCAGUCUUCAGACUGAAAAAGGCUCUGUAUGGUCUAAAGCAAGCACCUCGAGCUUGGUACGACAGACUAAGUAAGUUUUUAUUACAAAAUGGUUUUGUCAAAGGUAAAGUAGAUACUACUUUGUCUAUCAAAAAGGAAAACAAAAACUUUUUACUUGUUCAAAUAUAUGUUGAUGACAUUAUAUUUGGAUCCUCUAAUGAAAGUCUUUGCAAGAAAUUUUCUAAGUCUAUGCAGGAUGAAUUUGAAAUGAGUAUGAUGGGAGAGUUAACAUUCUUUCUUGGACUCCAAGUGAAACAAAUGAAGGAAGGAACUUUCAUCCAUCAAGAAAAAUAUGCGAAUGAUCUUGUCAAAAGGUUUGGAUUGGAAAAGUGCAAAAAGAUCGAUAUACCAAUGUCAUGUUCUCAGAAGAUAGACAAGGAUGAAGAAGGGAAGAAAGUAGAUCAAAAGCUGUACAGGAGCAUGAUCGGUUCACUUCUUUAUCUUACUGCUUCUAGACCUGAUAUUUUGUUUAGUGUUUGUAUCUGUGCUAGGUUUCAAUCAGAUCCUAGAGAAUCACAUCUCAUUGCCGUGAAACGAAUUAUCAAAUACGUUGCUUCAUCUUCAAGCAUCGGUCUUUGGUAUCCAAAGAGGGGAGACUUUAAUCUUCUAGGAUACUCAGAUGCAGAUCUGGCCGGUUGCAGAGUCGAUAGAAAGAGCACUUCUGGAACUUGUCAACUACUUGGAAACAGAACGGUGUCUUGGUUUUCGAGGAAGCAAAACACUGUAGCUUUUUCAACGACAGAAGCAGAGUAUGUAGCUCUUGGAAGCUGCUGUUCGCAAAUUCUAUGGAUAAAACAACAGCUACAAGACUUUGGCAUUGAAGACUCAUGCACAGAAAUUAGAUGUGACAACACCAGCGCUAUCAAUCUCACCAAAAAUCCAAUCCUUCAUUCAAGAGCAAAGCAUAUUGAGAUUCGACAUCACUUUAUUAGAGAUCAUAUUCAAAAUGGAGAAAUCUCGAUUCAAUUUGUUGAUUCAAAAAGUCAACUAGCGGACAUAUUCACAAAGCCUUUGGAGAAGAAUCAGUUCGACUUUAUCCGCUCGAGACUCAACAUUUUGAAGCUUGAAGAAGUUAAAGUCUAAAGACUCACCAACUCUAAGACUCUGAUCUCUUAGACUCUAAAUCCUGAGACUCAAUCAUCCAUGGCUAUAGACUGUAAGUUGUAAAAGGUACUAAUUGUCAUUUAGUUAUAUUAACUCGAAAAGGUACGAUCUUUUGUUUAAUAAUUUUGGCAGUUAUUGAUUUUGAAAAGUAGUGAUCGUUCACUUUCCUUGCACCGAUUGAACUUUCUUUUUCAAAACUGAGUUAUAUAUAUACAGUUUUUUUUUCCUUUCCCCAAUCUUCAAAACCCUAAAAGGCACUCUCCUCUCGAUACUGUUUCUACUCUUUGUUCAUCGUCGAGAAAGUGGUCAUUUUCCUUGGGAAAGCAAGUGAAGGAAUCCUCCAAUAGACAAAGAAGGAUGUCGACUUCGAGGAAAUCAUCAAGAAUCGCAAACAGGGGACCACAAAGAAUGAAGAAGGGACCGACUCAUUUCGAUCUCACUGAGGAAGAAGACUUACCAAGUCAGCGACAGAGUCCGAUUCGCUCUCCUCCACGUCAUUCAGCAUCUCCUGCCCCACAAAGUGCAAGUCACAAUCUGGAAGAAGAGAUAAUCGAGGAUGCCGACCCAGUAAGAGUUCAAAAGCCCUCCUUUUUGUAUACUCUUUAUCGUGCAUUGAAAAGCACAGGUACUCCAUUGAACUAUAUAGAUGACUUCCUUAAGGACAAAAAUUAUGGGAAUGAGUAUCUUUUUCUGAAGAAAAUGGAGGAAUGGGGAAUUGCCCCGAAAGGAAAAGCAGAGGAAGCACUUGCGAACAUUCCAAGAGAUCCUCGUAUGCCAGGACAAAAUCUGAUUGACGGGAACGAUGAUGACAAAAUGUUCCUUGAAUUUAAACCUAAAAUGGGUGUGGCAGUAAAGGUGAAAGGAAAUCGGAUGGAUUUGUUUAAAUCCAAGGAUCAGGAAAAAGUGUAUUUCAGUCUGUUGAAAAGAGGGGUAAUCAACCCUAGAAGUGUCGAUUUUGACUUCCUGGAUUCCAUCAACUUGAACCUAAGAGAGAAGUUGAAUUUGCUUCAACUUGAGACUUUCUGCUCUGACUCUACAGACGGGUAUGAUCAUCUGACCGCUUAUUUCUAUUCAAAUCUUAGCUUUUUGGAUGCGAAUAGAAUUUCAUUCAGUGUUCGAGACAGUCUAUGUGGUAGAUGUGAAUAUGUUGACGGACAUAGUUGGAGUUGAACGGGGACGCUAUCUCCCAAUCAAAGUCUCACAUGCUCGAACUACUCUGGAUCUUGUCAAAGAUAGGGAUGUAGAUAAGAAAAUUAUCUAUUCCAGGAUGAAUGCCAUCAACAUUGUGCUUCACAAGAUUGUGAUCAAUUGUCUCAGACCUAAGUCUACUUCAAAGACUUCUGUGUCUCUUUCUGAAGCAAAAUUGAUGUAUGCGAUCAACUCAGGACGGAAGUUCUCUCUCCCGCACACUAUUCUCUUCCAUAUGUACAGAGCAGUGUCAAAAGACAAAGGACAAUUGCCUUAUCCUGGUCUGGUGACCAAGAUCUUCAGACAUCUGAAUAUUGAACUGCCACAUUCUUUUUGUGUUCGAACGUGUGAUAAGAUGGUGGUAGGGUUGAAAAUGUUAAUGAAGAUGCGUCUGCAAGAACUCUCUAAGGCAAUGGAGAAAUUCAAAGUGAAAUCUCCAGUCCAGUCUGCUUCAAAAAGGAAAGGAAAGAAGGCCAUUGGUACUUCAUCGAAAAAGAGGAAAAGAACUCUUAUCCUGGAGGAUGAGGAUGAGGAUGAAGAUGAUGAAGAUCCCACUAUUCCAGCACUGACAAGAACAAGACGUUCUGUGUCUUAUCCGACAGAACUUCAGCAGAGCAGAGAAGAAGAAGAACAGAGAGAGAAGGAGAAAGAAGUUGAGGAAGAAAGAGAAGAAGAAAAAGAACAGUCUGCUGAUAAAUCUGGAGAGAAGGGAAAUCAAGAGCAUGAUCAUCACUCUUCCCCUUUCGAUGUCCUAGAGACAGGGGGAGUUAGUGAGCAAGAGAGGUCUCCACCUCAUGCUGAAGAUCCAAGACAAUCUCCAGAAGACCCAGAAGAAGUUCAGGUCUCUCAAUUGCCUGAAGAAGGUGAUACGUCGAUUCCAAAUUUGCCAGACCGAACAGAAGCGCCAUCGUCUGCAUACACACCUUCUGAGAAAGUCAAUGCCAGUACACAGACGGAUGAUUCUGCAGAUCUUCGUAGUAUCAUGAAUAUUCUUCUGGAAAUGCGUAACCAGAUAUAUAUUCUGGACUGUGAAAUCCAAGCUUUGAAGCAUGCUGGACAAGCAUCUUCAGUCUCUCUGGAAGAUAAAUUCAAAGACCUCGCUCUGCAACUUCAAGCCAAUGCCAAGAGAGAAGAGGUAGCUCAUCUGCGAGAAGAUCUGAAGAAGCUCGAAGGAGUAGUCCAGUCCAUUGGGGAUUUCCAGAUCGUGCGCAUUCCCAAGCAGACAUGACUCCUUUCUCACCCUCUUUUUAAUGAUGACAAAAAGGGGGAGAACCAAUUUGAACAAACAUUAUUUUAAAACUUUAUUUGACUUUUGUGUUUAUGUUUAUUUUUGAGUAUGACUUGAGAACUUGAACUUGAGUGUUAGACUGAAUUGGCUGUGGAUUUUGAUGCUUGACUGGUUGCAUUUAUAUCAAGUAUUGUUACAUGGUAUUACUCAUGAAAGACUAACCAAUUUGCUGUGGAUGCAGAGUCUGGUUGUUUAUUAAUCUUUAUGAGUUAGCCAUAUUGCUUGAGAAAUGUUUUUGCAGGUCAAAGUUGUUCAAAUCUUCAAGAAAGUUUUGUCACCAUCAAAAAUGGGGAGAUUGUUGGAGAAAUCUUUCCAGGAUAUUUUGAAGCUGACAAAACAUUUCUAUCAGUCUAAGUCUGGAUAUCGAUAGUUAAAGUCUCAAGACUUUAUAGUCUCAAGACUUUGUUAUCUCAAGACUCAAGACUCAAGACUCAAGACUCAAAAUUAUUCUCACUGACAGUCUUUCUAAUCCAGUGUUGAAGGAAAUUCAAAGCCGAGGUUUAUGGUUGAGGAUUUGAUCCUAUCCUCUGGAAUAGAUUCUUUGGUUGGAUAAUCAUUUCGGAUUCUUUAAUUCUUAUCUAAGAUCGAUUGAAGAUCCGAUGGUCGACGAAAUAAUCUUGGAUUAUUCUAUUCUUGGAAACCGAGAUCCUGAUUGUAUGGGCGAACAGGAUUGAUGGGCUAUCAUCAGAUUCCUUAAAUAGCUCGGAUGAUCUUCUUGAUUGAUUCCGUCCAACGGGUAGAUUGGAGGAAUUCCUUUGGUAAGUACCAACGGCUAUGAUGGCAUGAAGGAGUAUAAAAGGAAGACGUUCUAGUUGUUUCAAGUGUGUGAUCGAUAGAAAAAUUCCAGAGUCUGAAGAUCCUUGAUUGUUAGUUGAGACUGAGCGAAAUUGUAUACAAAGAGUGUUUAUACUUGGUGACGCCUUGAGUGAGUGUGGUAGAUCAUCUACACCUAGAAAUCAAGGAAGAUCAACACUGUAACAACUCUUUGAUCAUAGUGGAAUCCAGCCAAUCGGCUGUCAGUGCAGAAGAGUGGACGUAGGCUUGAAUCAAGCCGAACCACUAUAAACCGAGUGUUCAAUUCUCUCUUUCCCUUACUCAGUCUUGCGAUUGAAUUUUUAACUGUUGCAAAUUCUCUAAUUGUUUAAAUAUCGUGCAAGCUUCGAGAAAUUUUUUGUAUACCUAUUCACCCCCCCUCUAGGUACUCGUACUAGCUACUUCACAUCUAACAACUUACAGCUCCAUAUAUCGAUCAAUUAUUUAAAAUUUCUAAGGUUUAAAAGAAUAAUUCAGUGAUAUCGUAUCAUUUUAAGAGGUAUUGGAUUCAGAUGAAAUUGUUAGUACAUGGAGUUAACAUGGAAUGAAUACAACAAAAGUCAACGUCCAUUUGCAGAUUCCAUAUGGGUAGUUUUGGGAUUUUAUCUUCCAUUUCGCUGCUUUCGUUCUUGUGCUAAUUUACAAGUAUAAUGCUUACUCCGCCCAGAAGCUUUCUUAUUCUGCCUAGAUUUAGUAUUUUUUUUUUUUAAGUGGGGUUCCUUGCCUUAAAGAAAUUUUGACUAAUUUAUUUUGCAUCAAAUUUGACUAAUAGCAGAAACAUGCUUGAAACAAUCACAUUCCGCUUUUCUGAUAUGAUAAUUCAAGCUCUUGUUUUACACCAUGGUGGAUUUGUUCCAUUGAUACAUGUCUUGUACCUUGGAAUGAGAGAAUGAACUUGCAAAUCACAUGAAAAACGAAGAAUUUAUUGAGAUUGAGACUCGAAGAUUUAGAAUAAUGGUCAAGCAAUUGAGUCAUUCUAACACCUAAUGUCAAUUGAAUUCGUGAACAAGAAGGGUGAUACCUUUUUCAAUGAAAUAGCAAUGGCCAUAAAGGCAAAAUUCCUCAAACAUUACAAGAAUGUCUCGCUCUUUUUUUUUUUUUUUUUUUGGUAGCCACUGCCUUGGCUUCAAGGUUCAAGUUGGAGGGGCUCACAAUGCUUCCUAUUCCAUAUUACAAAUCUUUGGGACUGAGUCAGGAGCUCCAACUGGAGCACAUAUUGGCGAUAACGACGAGUAGACUCUCAAAUAUGCAUGUGGCAUAUGUUGGUCGAUAUAAUACAAUCCAUCUACAAAGAAAGAAUGCAGCCUCAUUAAGUAGUGCCCACAAACCUCUAUGGUCUUUGCUUCGAAGAACACCCCACGGUCUGCUAGGUAUUCAUCUUCAUUGUCUACUGGUGAAUUGGAGAUGUAAUUGGGAAUAGACUACACCAAGCACAUUAAUAGAGUUGGUGAAAAUAACCUCGAGAACGUGAAAUGGUGGAACUUGUGACUUACUCAUUCCACUGACAUAUACGGCACCUUCGAAGUCUAUGUUCAUUACUAGCCAACUUUUGGAAGUCAAAUAGAUCCAACUUGUUUGCGUAAAAUUUAGAAAUAAUUAGCGUAGGGUGAAAUUAGUUUUUACAAGAAUCAACUCCAUAGGAAUGUACCCAACAUGGACACAAGAACAACAAUGACACUGUAUAGUCCAAAUCAUGGUGAGGAUAUGAAUUAGUAUCGGAUGAAAGAGGGAAGAGUCAAAGAUCCAAUGGUGUUCCAUUUAUCCUACUAUUGCUCUGGAAGACAUUUGGGUUUCAUUUGUUUCGCGGAAAACAAUUUCCAAGAAAAGUUUUUUGGAUAUUUCAAGGUUCGUUUAAUAGAAAAUGAACUAGUUGAGAAAAAUAUUUUGCAUUAAUAGCAAAAAGUUUUCUAAAAUAGGAGAAAACAUUUUCCUCACUUACUCUAUGUUAUCUCACACCCUUGCUAGCCUCUUCAUCUUUCUUUUUUUCUUUUUAAAAAAAUUUGAAAAUUUUAAAUCAUUUUUCAUUUUUUUCCUUUCUUUUAUUUUCCUUCUUUUCGGGCCCAUCCUAUGGUUGGUGAUUGACCAAAGAAGGAGGAAAAGAAAAAAAAAAAAAGAGGUAAAAAUAGAAAAGAAAAAGUAAAAGAAAAAAAAAGCCGAAAGAAAAUUUAAAAAUAAAAUAAUCAAAAUUUCGAUUUUUUAAAAAAUAAAAACAUAAAAAAAUUAUUAAAUUGAGUGCACAAAAAGAAAUUGAAUCGAAUUUUCUACAUUGAAUGGCGAAAAAUAUUUUCUAGUUCAUUCUCGUGUUUCAAGCAAACACCGGAUAAUAUUGUUAUUUUCUUAAAAAAUGACUUUCUAGAAAAUAUUUUCCAGAAUCACAACAUUUUAUGCGAAACGAAUGAAGCCAUGGAGAGUGCCUAGAUACCUUUGAUUCCUGGGGUUUAUGACUAAUAACUAAUAAGAGCCAGCAAAAAUCGUAUUUUUCAUAUCAUCAUAACUGUCCAUUAUCUAUUAAGCCAAAAAACGACAAGUAUGUUCCUAGCAAAAGGCAUAACUCUCACUAGUUUUACAUGUUACUCCUUUUAAUAGCAUUCUCAUGAUAUGGAGCAAUUACUCUGUAAAUCUGAUAACCAAAAAAAUGUUGGAUGUAAUGUAAAUCUCAUAAAAAAAGAAAAGAAAAGAAAUUCACGAUCAACAUAAGCAAAGCAAGCAGGAGAGAAGAAAAUUAAUUUUAUGAAUCUAAAUAAAGAUGAUAAUUUCACCAACUUAAUGAAGUAACUACUUUUGGCUGUGCUGAUUUAUAUUUUCAAGUAACAUAUAGCUUUCAGAUAUAAAUUUCAGCUGUCCUCAGACACUUGAUGAUAAACUAACAUUAGGAUCACACCUAUCGCAUAUUCAUUCAUUCACAUCUAUGGACUGUGACUUAUAUUGCCUCACUCUUGUCAAUUUAAAGGAAAAAGAGUAUAAUUAUAGAAGAAUAACAUUACCAUGUAUGCCAUUAGAACAAUAUGAGUUACUUAGAGUCAAUAGGCAAAUUGAAGAGUUUGAUGUAUAACAUAUUUACGAAGCAUUGUUGAACAUCUAGAUUUUAUUAAAAUACUUAAGAGAAACCGUGCAGACCCCAUAAGAAACCCAAUCGUAAAAUGCAAAAUUUUGGUACAGUUAUUAUCUUAUAAUUUUCCACCACAUCAUUUAUUUAUUAAGUUUAUAUAAUAUUUUCAAGAUAAAUAAUGGCCUCUCGUCUCCUUAUGCAACCAAGCAAGUGAGAUGGUAGAAGACUUUGACUUGCUUGUAAUUACUAGAAUCUUCCCCCUAGGUUUUGCCGGCUUUUUAUCUUAUCCCUUUCUUUGCAGCUAAGCAAGCAAGAUAGUGGAAGACUUUAACUUGCUUUUUCUUCCCCUUCCUUCCCCCCCCCCCUUUCUUUUGAGUAGGUCUUGUUGACUUUUGCCUUAUCACUUUCUUUGCGAUUAAGCAAGCAAGAUGGCGGAAGACUUAGACUUGUUUUCCCUCACUAGAGAAUUUUUUAAAAGGUAAUUAACUCGGUUCAUAGAAAAAUUGAUAUAGAAUCUCCGAAAAAGUCUUUUUCUUGAUAAAGAUUUCUUUUGCAAAAUGCAAAUACUAACAUGAGCAUGCUAUGUAUGGAGAAAUAUCCUAUUGACCCAAUUUGGCAUCGUGCUUGAUUACUGCAACAACAUAUUUGUUCUUGAGAUAUCAAUCCUCGAUGAUGGUCAGAAUGACUCACGUAUAGCUCGAUGCAUGCCAGAAUGACUCAAAUGUGACGCUAGAUCUAGUCAAGUGUCGUUACAACAAGAUGCCUCUAUUUUUUAGUAGAGCCAUGACAAAGGGUUGGGGGGGGGGGGGGGGAGAGAGAGAGAGAGAGAGAGAGAUUGCGGGGGAGGGGAUAGAGAUAGGGGAUAAGUUGUGGAAGGCAUCAUUGGUGUUGGUUAGGGGAGUGAUUAUGGGAUGGUGACAUUAAUUGGUAGUGGUAGUGAAGGGGGGGUUGGUGGAGAGAAAGAGAGAGAAACGAUGCGGUAGAAUAAAUGGUAUUUCAUGUGACAAUUGUACGGAGGAGGUUUGGCUGAAUUGCCCCAAAUUGAUGUUGUCAUCUGGACGUGAAGCGCAUUGAUAUCAAGAGAAAGAUCAUGUUUAGAAAACUAAAAAAGAUAGGAUCCAUAUAAGUUCCUCUUGAGUUCCACUAGAUCUAGAAGUUUGUAACGAGUAUGGAACGAACGACGUACCACUCAAUUGUUGGUCAAAGCAAUAGGCAAGUGAAGAAAAAGCUCAUGUAGUUGUCACACCACAUACAAUGGGCUCCAUAUGCCGGGGGUUCCACACUCGAGCAUGAGGCCAACUAAGGAGUCCCGUGAAAGCAAAUGGAAAAAUCAAUUUUAUUUUUUCUCCGUUGAUUAACAUGAAUUGCAUAUAGACAUGAUUCAGACUCAUUAAAAUAUAUAUUAAAUUAAAUACUUUGAAUUCAUAAAAGCAUAUUUUUUAAAUUUUAGCUAAUUCGUAUAUGAUCCAAGUCACUGAAUAUGGUUAAGAUGUAAAUUUUUUACCAUUUCAAUGCCUCUAGCAGUGAGAGGCUUUCAUUUCAAUGGGAAGGGAAAGCAAAGUGUUGUCCAUCUGCACUUUGAUUUAUGCGGUCAUGCGAUCCCAUUACAUAGAGAACUAACAAAAGCUGAGAGUUAAUCGGUUAAAGUAGUAAAUUUUUUCAACAAGGAUGCGUAAAUCCAUGGUGGGAUUGUGUGUAUCCCAAGCACAUCUGGCUCAUCUUUUAAGGUAAGAGGGGAAGUAAUUUCCAAUGUGAACACUUUGCAGAAGUUGCCAAUUAAAGUAGAUGAUUGUGGGGCUCUUUCGAAAUAGUAUCGUAUGAAAACUAAUUUCCAUUGUGAACACCUUGACUUCAACAUAAAAGUAUGUACUCUUUCAAUUAAUGGGGCUAGAAAAGCAAAAGCCGAGGAUAAAGCAAAAUCUUCAAUUUGAUUUAAGUGGCCAUGAGGUCCAAUUACAAUCUAAUGGCUACGUCAAUCAGCAAUAGGGGUGCCAAUCAAUCAAUAAUUUGAGUGGCAAAGUGGAGCCAUUGUCAAAAGGUGAGGAUAAAGCAAAAAGUAUUGCCCAUCUUCAAAAAGUUAAUUUUCACUAUGAUUUGCUUGGCCAACGGAUCCAAUAACAAAAAGAACUAACAAGGAAAGUCUACAAAGGGGUCGUCUUGGCAAUUUCGAGGGAGGAAUUGUUUUGGGCUCUUGGUCAAAAAGGUUAGAAUCAAAAGAAGUCUCGGCAAUUUCAAGGAAGGAAUUGUUUUGGGGUCUUGGCCAAAAAGGUUAAAAUCAAAAGAAGACAUGGGAUGGUCCUCGGUAAGACCUUAAACUGCAGCAGUCCGGGGGGGACAACCUCGAUAACAAGGCCCCGCGCGGGCAUGUAAUCCCGUGCCUCCCCUCCUUGGGGUCCCCGAAGGCCAUACGAGGGGUAUUCCCUUUCCUGGGGAAGAAAAUUAUCCGGUUGGGGGCAAAAGCCUGGCCCCUGGAAAAUACNNNNNNNNNNNNNNNNNNNNNNNNNNNNNNNNNNNNNNNNNNNNNNNNNNNNNNNNNNNNNNNNNNNNNNNNNNNNNNNNNNNNNNNNNNNNNNNNNNNNNNNNNNNNNNNNNNNNNNNNNNNNNNNNNNNNNNNNNNNNNNNNNNNNNNNNNNNNNNNNNNNNNNNNNNNNNNNNNNNNNNNNNNNNNNNNNNNNNNNNNNNNNNNNNNNNNNNNNNNNNNNNNNNNNNNNNNNNNNNNNNNNNNNNNNNNNNNNNNNNNNNNNNNNNNNNNNNNNNNNNNNNNNNNNNNNNNNNNNNNNNNNNNNNNNNNNNNNNNNNNNNNNNNNNNNNNNNNNNNNNNNNNNNNNNNNNNNNNNNNNNNNNNNNNNNNNNNNNNNNNNNNNNNNNNNNNNNNNNNNNNNNNNNNNNNNNNNNNNNNNNNNNNNNNNNNNNNNNNNNNNNNNNNNNNNNNNNNNNNNNNNNNNNNNNNNNNNNNNNNNNNNNNNNNNNNNNNNNNNNNNNNNNNNNNNNNNNNNNNNNNNNNNNNNNNNNNNNNNNNNNNNNNNNNNNNNNNNNNNNNNNNNNNNNNNNNNNNNNNNNNNNNNNNNNNNNNNNNNNNNNNNNNNNNNNNNNNNNNNNNNNNNNNNNNNNNNNNNNNNNNNNNNNNNNNNNNNNNNNNNNNNNNNNNNNNNNNNNNNNNNNNNNNNNNNNNNNNNNNNNNNNNNNNNNNNNNNNNNNNNNNNNNNNNNNNNNNNNNNNNNNNNNNNNNNNNNNNNNNNNNNNNNNNNNNNNNNNNNNNNNNNNNNNNNNNNNNNNNNNNNAUAGAUUGAAUUAGAGAAACUUCAAUUUAGUGUGGUUUCCAUAUGAUUUUUUUUUGGUGACCCGAGAACCACUGUACAGCCGGCAAUCGGCGAUGUAAACCUGGGGCGACUAAGCCACCACCACAGACCCAAUCACAGUUGAGUUGCGUGAUUUGCGGUACACGGGAUUUGAACCCCUCCAUCCUGCACAUAUGUCAUAGGGGCGCUUAUCCAGUGUAGCCACCACGGGCAGUGGUUGGUUUCCAUAUGAUUUAAUGAGGGAAAAUUAUCAAAAAAGUUCUAAAUUUAUUGCACUUUUACCAAUUCAAUUAUAAAUUUUUUAAUUCAAUUUGUUUAAUCUUUAACUUAUUAAUAAUUUCCCAAUAUAAUCUAUUUGUAUAAUUUUGAUAUAAAAUUGUUGAUUUGAACUAUGAGCGUCUUUACUUGACAUGGCUGGUGAGGACUGGCAGCCUGACCAUAGCGGGCUCUCGGCUCCUGCUUGCCGUGUAUGAGGGCAGCGUGCCUCGGCCUUCACCUGCCAAUCAGCUUUUUGAUUCGCCGUUCUUCCACAGUGGGCCACCCAUAUUCUUUUGAAAUUUCGCCAACUUUGGGUUGGGCGUCCAAGACACGUGCCUCCACCUAAACAUGGCACGUGAUCAUGUUCCCGCCGCAGAAAGUGAACACAGAACCGCGUCGUCGGACUCCCCAGGUACAAGUUCUAUCUACUUCCAUAUCUGAAGCAUAUCGAAGCCUCUACGACCAGAGCGAGAGCUUCGGCUUAUAUCGGCGGAGGAAGCAGCGAUCUUCUUUCUCGUGAAUCCACCGAGCAGUACACCCGAGGCCAUCGCGAAGAGCAUCUGCAGUCACUCCUUCCGAACCACCGGCCUCAAAGGACUGGUUUUUCAGCAGGCACCAAUCAGCAGGUAAAAUCAACUCGAAUCGUCUCGAGUUUCGAACUUUUCAGUGUUCCGCUUGCUAUAAUUUCUGAUAAUGGACUCCGCUGAGGUGAGUAGGGUUCUUGGAUUUGGGGGGUCUUUGGUGGAACACGAGGGUCGUUUCUGGAUUUUAUCGAAAUACGGUAAGUUCCCCCUAUGUAGUUGGUGAUUUCGUAGCCACUACUCGUCCUUUCUCGCGACGUUCUGACCUGAGAUGAUCUGCAAAUUUACCUUCGUCUCUUUCCAAACCAAGCCGGUCUAGGUCGAGGCGUGAAGGUGAUCCUCGGAAUUGCGCAGCCUUUCGGGACUCGGACCCAACUCGAUCUGCUUCAAGGCGACUUCUUCUCAAACACUGAAACCCGUCACAACUAUUUCAUCUCUGAAUCGCUGCUAGAGGUAAGCACAACCUUCAUUCUCUGGUCCAUACCAAUUGAUAGCACAAAGAAUAAAAUACAUGUGAUUAUUACUCAUCCCAUGACGCCUAACAUCCUUUUAAGGCAUACAGAAUAAUACAUGUGAAAUUCCUUCGACUUUUGUAAAAUCAUUAUCAAAUACAUAUUACUAAUUUUUGUUACUACAAUCUUGUCAUUUAAACUAAUCGGUUGAAUUUGGUGGAAUCACACGUUGGCCCUUAUCCCGGUAUUGUUUUCAAAACAUCAACGGUUCACUGAACUCCAUUGGGAUGAAGGCCCCAUUCCAUGAAAAUUAUGAAAAUACCCUUCUAGACCUGAUUUUGGGUCCAUUGGCCCUAUAGGUACCCCACUUGUCAAAAAUUACUUAAAGCUUGAAACAUCCAAAAUACUUAGUUUUUGUAGAAAUAAUUGUCUUUUUUCUCUUGAAAACAGUUUAAAACUAACUAUAUAUAUAUAUAUAUAUAUAUUUCCAAAUAUAGAUCGUGCUGGUCUAUUCUCUUCAAUAAUUGCAGAAAACCUUUCAAAGCCUACGGAUCAAAAUUGUCAACGACAAAAAUUUAUUUGAACAGAUCAGAUCAACUAGAGAAUUUUUGAAUGUCCAUAAAACUAUUAUCCAUUAUAUUGGUAAUGAUCAUAAUUUUUGGAAAAUGACAGAAUAUUCAAAUAUUUUUUGGAAGUUAUGAAAAAUACACAAUUGUACUUAUUAUUAUUAUUAUUAUUUUUGGUGGUGCUGGUCACAAUGGAAAACUUGAAAGUGAGCAAUGCUGCUGUUUUCAAUGCACUCACACAUAUUUAAUAUGUGGAUUAUGUGGGUUAAAAUAGAGAAACUUGUCAUAAAGUGUGGUUUUCAUGAGAUUUAACUGCUUACAGCAAAGCAGUGAUAUAGCAUAUAAAGUUACCAACCUACGAUAGAUUUGACAAUAUGAUUUAUGCAUGUGUAGGGUGGGAGAGAAUGUAGCGUUUACAGGAGGAAGAACGUCUAUGAUAAUAUCAUACUGAUAUAUUAGCAGGAGCCACAUUUAUUUGUUUAACAAUAUGGUUUAUAAGUAGAUAUGAACAGAAUUGGUCAUUCUGUACUCUCGUCCAAAUUGUGCUCUCUCACAUUCAGCCUCUCUCUUGCAGAACAAUUCGGAACUAUUGUCCUCUCUUGCUUGCUUUGAUCUUUUCCCUCUUGAAAGUUUUCACCCGGGCUUGUUUAAGGUCUCCUCUCUCCAAUCUCGCACCUCUCUUUGCAUCUCAGCUCACGGAAGGUAAUUGCUUUUUCAUGUCUUAUUAGCGUGUCGAUUCUAUUGAUCCGUUGCUUUGUUAUUGGAAUAAUCGGCUGAACUAAGUGCAUUUUGGGCCCCUUUUUGUCAAUUGGGGAUGUGGGGUGGCCACUAAAUAGCAAAGGAGGGUCUUUUAUUCUCUCUCUAGAGUCGUCGUUACCUGUUAACGAGGAAUGUACCCAGCUCAGACUUGACUUUGGUGAAAAAAGAAAACCUUUGUUUUCGACUAUAGACGUAGCUAAUCCUAAGAAUGUCUGAUUGUUAGUUGCAUCGUAAUUCAGUAUUGAUCUUUUGUUGAACUAGAACGAGUAGGUCUGCAAGCGCGCUAGACUCUAUUGCGUGCAAAAUUGCCACAUUUCGCUUGAACCCAUAGGCCAUUUCUUUUUUUAUGAAUUGUGAGGUUUUUCUGUGUUUGAAGGUCCUAGAUCAAUUUAUAGAAAAAAAAAAUCAGAAAAAUAGAAGUAGGCUAGUUCUUGGGUCAACUAGUUUUGUUCUCGGUUACAAAAAUGGAGAACUAAUUAUUACAGAAUCAGUUCCCGAUUCUUAGUUUAGAACUUACUCAUCCUGAAACCAAUCAUCCUAAGAGUUAGUGUUCUCUUAAGGAGAUAAUGUUCGACAAUUUUACCUCCCUAUAGAACAUUCCAAAGGAGUGAUUCUGUUUUCCUCAAAUUGUUGGACCAUUAAUCGUAGAAAGCACUUGCAAUAGUAGGAAAAAAAAAAUCUAGUUGAUCUUCUGACACACAUGAAAACGAUCAAAUAAAUCGAGCCAUACAUGCAAAUUAGGAGAUUCACCUAGCUUUAUAUCACUUAUUUCUUACACCUCUUUGUGGUGAUAUUCUCAUUAUGGGCCCUCCGACAAAAAUGGGGACAAGCACUCAACGCCAUUCUCAAGGUGGUCGUCUCUGAAUUUUCCUCAGCAACUUCUUUUUACUUCCCUCCUCUUCUUCUCCUUCUUCCAUUGAAUCAAUACCUAAUUUCUAAUCGUUCAGAC